rnacentral:lncRNA from 1 species
UUUACGAAAACCCCAUCGGGUGCACUAAUGACCGAGGGUGAUGAUGAGUUACGUGACCACUUGUGAAGAAGUGGUGCACCGGGAAAUGUUUUUGUGUGAGUGGUUUCAGAAAUGGGAUUAGAUUUAUGAUGUGUCGACCGUCCCAACCUUACAUGUGCGAUAACGAUACCCCUUUAUGGGACGGGGCUUUGUUGAUUACUUUGGUCGGUGCUAGCAAAGAGCAUGCAUUACUAGUGGCGGGAGUGCUAUGCGGUCACUCUCGUGACGGGGUCAUGCUAGGUAGGACGACUAAGCCGUUUUGACGUGUGCCGGACACACCGUUAGUCUCUGCAUGGAUGAUACAGUCCAAAGUCGGUGCUCGUAAGACGUACAUCAUGUGGGCUGGGUACCAAUCGAGUGGACUCUUUAUCUAGUGUCGUUAGGGGGAAAGGCAAUGAUCGGGUACUUACCUCGGGUAUGUUAUAUACCACGAGUCGUGGAUGACACGGAAGUUUCCCGGAUCUCGUGGGUACAUCGCACAACCUCUACAGAGUGUAAAACUAUUCGAAUAGCCAUGUCCACGGUCAAGGACAGUUGUGCGGUGCUUCUUAAACUAUGUCUAGUCGUUUCCGCAUAAACCAUGUGUGUGUGUGCAUGUGUUUAAGGUGUUACAUGAGAAAGUGAUUACUCGGUCAAGUUUGGUGACUUGACGUGGAGGAUCAACAUGAGAUGUUCAGUCCUCAGAAUAUUUAUGUUGAUAUCUGUAACUUGUUCUGAUGGUUACUGUUUACUACUUGAUUCAUGACUAUCUAAAUACUUGACCAUGUUUGUGCAUUAAAAAAACCUGCUUUACGCAAAGGCUGCAUUCUUAUGUUAGUUCAUGUUCCAUUAUUAUCUUGUUCCACUUCCUGGGCUAUUUGCGAGUACAUUCAAAGUACUCAUUGGUUGCCACUGGUUUUUCAUUGACCACGUAUGAGAGAACAGGAAAUUGUGAAUGGUAACUUGGUGACGUUCCUACGAGCUAGGACACUUCCGAGUCAGAAUGCCUGUAGGUUAAGGCUGAUGGCAUGGGUUCAUGCUUUCGACCAAUAUAUCUGCUAUUGGUCAAGUUUGGUGUGUUGGCCUUCAAGGCCCUAUAUAUGUAAGACUUGACUGCAAUGGUCAUUUAUUGUAUCAAAUAAUAUGUAUGGAUGUAAGACUCUUGUUAUUCAGUUUCUGUGUGUUCCAUGAGAAAUGAUCUCUGGGAUCACUGAGCACGUUCAUUCGGCGAUCUUGACUCCUAAGUCGGGGUCCCCACAUGUGUAGUGUUUGAUUGUGUGAAUUUCCAUUCUGUGCCUUGCAUAUUUGAACCGAUCAUGCAUCAUAUGUGUUGUGCAUCAUGUUGUGCAUGUGUCAUGGUGAAUAUCGUGUGUUGAUGCUUGUUUCCGAUUUGUCGUCUCGAUAGAGUUUUGCAAGCGUGUCGGAAUGUGAGGACCCGUUCGACUCCAUUGGUUUGUCUGCUUCAUGGAGUCGUUCUUCUUCCAAGCGGGAUCUCAGGCAAGAUGAUCAUUUCCUUAGAUACCAUUACUAUCAUUGCCAUGCGAGUUGUCUCAUUUCUUUCGCUAUGCUUCCUACCACCUAUUAAAUGUCAGCCUCCCAACAUUGUCGUGAAAACCUCUAACCUUUUCCACGACCUAGCAAACCACUGUUUGGAUAUGUUACCGCUUGCUUAACCAUGUGUUAGCAUUGCUAGUUGCUGGUGCAGUUGCUUCCAUGUGAUAACAUGGGUUCCUUGUUAUAUCACCCUAUUGAAUGCUAUUUAAUUUAAUGCACCUAUAUACUUGGUAAAAGGUGGAAUCCUCGGCCUUUCUAACCUGGUGUUUUGUUCCACCUUUGUAUCCUUAGUUUUGGCUACCAGUGUUAUGUUCCAUAAAUGAGCGCUCGUAACAUGCUUCGGGUUGUUAGGGGGACCCCCUAGAUUCUCGUUUUGGGAUAAAGCUCGUUUGGCAAGGCCCAACAUUGGUACUGUAUUAUCCCGACAUAAUAGGGAGUUAGCGCGACCCGAGGAGUAAUUCAACAUAAUACAGGGAGGGCUAGUGUUGAUGGUGCUGGUCCAAAUAGAACCGUUUGUGGGGCCAACCCGGGGCAACUCGGGAGAUGUCUAUUAGGCAACCGUACGCUGCGCUUAUCCGCCGUGUCCUCAGAACGAGAUAUGCGGCUCCUAUCGGGAUUGUCGACACGCGGGGUGCCUUGCUGGACUUGGUUUACCUUUAUCGAGCGUCUUGUCCGAGGGAUUCUGAGGAUACUUUGGGUUAUCUCGAGGUUGAGGUUUUCCAAUAGGAACCCGAGGAGAUCACAGGUUUCCCUGAUCGAGGCCAUUCAGUCGCAGCGUGUGGUAGUUUGUGAUGGACUAGUUGGAGCACCCUUGCUGGGUUAAAUGUUUUGGAAAGCUGUGCUCGCUGUUAUGUGGCAACGUGGAAACUUUGUUUAACAUCCGGUUCUAGAUAACUUGAAGUAAGAUUAAUUAAAAUAUGUCAACUGAGUGCGUAACCGUGACUAUCUCUUUCGUGAGCUUCUUCACCAAUCGAGGACACGGUGGGGUUAUGUCUGAUGCAAGUAGGUGUUCAGGAUCAUUCAUUUGAUCAUUAGUAGUUCAUGUCCGCUAUGCGUAGAUCAUCCCCCGCUUUAUGCUUGUACCCAUAAGUGAGCCACCAAAUAAAUCCUUAGUCGCUUGCAGCAGCAUCACCACUUAACCAUACCUCACCCGUUAAGCUUUGCUAGUCUUGAUACCUUUGGAAAUGAGAUUGUUGUGUCCCUUGUGGCUCACAGAUUACUACAACACCAGUUGCAGGUACAUGUAAAGGGUUACUGGACGUGAGCGCGCUAAUUGUGUUAUUUGGAGUUUCUUCUUUGUCUUCUUCAUCGAUCUAGGAUGGGUUCCAGGCCGGCAGCCAGGGAUAGCAAGGAUGGACGUCAUUCUUUUAUCGUUUGUUUUGGUCCGUAGUCGGACCCUACUAUUCUUCGUGGUGAUGGUAUACUGUUGAAUUGUUGUGACUCUGAUGUAGCUUGUGGCGAGUGUAAGCCAACUCCUUAUACUCAUAAUUUCUGUACAUGUACUUGUAAUGAUAUCCAUUCUUGCGAAACGACAAGAUGUGUUUCUAUCCAUGACGUGGCCCUCACGCCAAAAUAAGGAUACGACCGCAUCUUGGGUGUUACAGACAUGCAACAGCUUUAAUGAGACCCGUCCCAUAGCAUGUCAAGAGAAUAAGAGGUAGUCGGUCGAACGAUACAGAGGAGAUGCGAACCUUGUCGGGAGGCAUCUCCAGCGUGAAACCUCACGGUGCAUUUAAUGCACCUGUCCUAAUCUGCGAGGGUUAGGUAUUCACAACUAUUGCUCAUAUCGGCACUUUUAGCAUCUAUAGAAGCCACUAUUCACCCUUCUAAAAAGACAACUUUAGCCACUCUGGUAACCCGUUGCAAUAUAAGAGGAGGUUCACGGCUACCUUUGGAGAGGUCAACACUUUGUCCAUUUCCAUGUGUAGCUGCACUCCUCGAGCUUCCUUGUCGGGAUGUUGCGCUCGUGUAAUUUGAAGUUCCACCCACAUAAUCCACAACACAUGACAUAGGGUAUUAUGCUUCUGAGCAGCCAUGCCUGUCUAAAAACCCCGCGUGUGCAUGUGAUUGAUGAUGCUCUUUGAGCAUGUGUCCCCCGUCCUGAACCACAAGGGGCUUGUGGUCAGAUGGAUCAUUGUUCCCCCGACAUCUUAGUCAUGUGACAACCAAGUAAAAUAGGUGCACGUAGUCCUUGCGCAAUGGGAAUGGUUGGAGGCAUGUUCGGAUCAAUCCCAAACCAUCAUUUCUCUCAAGAGCUAUUUAUGUCAACUCAUGGGAUUGUGAGGUUGACGAGUAGUUGAGGUAUCCUACACAUACACAUAACAAAGAAAAUAAUGUAUGUGCAUGGAAGACAAACACAUCAUCCAUCAUGAUGGUUCUCUUCUCUUGCACAUAAUAUUUAGAAGCAAAAGUGCAUGAAUUAUAUUAAGCAACAAUGGCAAUAUUCAUGGCACUAGGUAUAUUGUGCAAACAAGGAACGAAAGCAUGCUUCACAUGAAAGGUGUCAAAAGCUCCAAUAAUAUGAGAGAAAGCUAUUGGGGCUAACUCAUUAAUAGGAUUAAUAUGUUGCACUCAAUACAUGGAAAAUCAUAUAGAAAGAAAGAGCCAAGACAUGGAGAUAUAUGACAAUAUGCAAUAUUGUUCAUGUGUGAAGCAUGGCAAUGGUUGUCAUCAACCGCAUGAAAUGAGCAAGUAUUAAUCAUCGAUGAUGCAACAUAAGCAAGCAUAGUGAUCAUGUCGUGCAAACUAGUAGUGUGAAGAUUCAAUAUACUAGAGGAAAUCAUGGCAAUCAUGUCAUGUGAGCAAAUAAUUAGCAUAGACAAUGUGCAUGAAAUAUCACAAGCAUGAGAACAAAACAUGAUUAAUGUAUCCUCAUAGUCAUGGACCAUCAAGCAAACAUGGCAAUAGCAAGUAAUAUCUCCACAAAGCUUGCAAACACACAUACAAUUAUGUGAACUAAGUGUUGUGUGAGAUGCAAGGCAUGGGUCAAAAAUGCAUGGCAAGGGCAUAUAAAUGAGCAUAUCAUGCAAAGGGAACAUGGCAAUAUGGGCAAAUGAUAUAUAAUGGACAAUAACCCAUAACCAUGUGAGGGCCAUGUACACGAGACAUGUGUAGUCUUUGCGCAAAGAGUGUGGGUGGAGGGUAAGCACUCCAUGGUGGCGCACGUGUUGAUUGCUCUCUAGAGCUUGCUUGGUCAACUCGUACACUUGUGAGGUUCAUGAAGAACCAUGUGCACCUAUACAACAAGGAGACACGUGAAACAAAGUGAUGCAUGGUCAAUGUACACAUCAUCCAUCAUAAUGUGUAUGUGCAUGUGAGACUUAGCACAAGAUAAGCAAUGCUCAAAGAAAUUUGAUGCAUGGUAUAGAAACAUAUCAUCCAUCACUAAUGAAUAGUUGUUGUGUAUAACACGAGGGGACACAAAUUGAGCAUGAAAAUAUAUGGAAAAUUAACAAAACAAUUAUUCAUGGGAAGCAUAUUGUGCACAUAAAUAUGGGGACCAUGCAAAGUGUAGGGCGGACCAAAAUCUACUAAUACGUAUGAGGAAACUAUGGGUGUCUCCUCAUGUGCAAUAGAGGAAGCAUAAUAUGGAGAAUAUGGACAGUGUCCAAAACAAUUCAUAUCCCAAGCAUGGUGUUCAUGGCAAAUCAUGUGUGAACGAUUAUGCAAAUGAUGCAAAGGGAGAAUGGCAAUAUCAUCAUAAGAAUAUAACAUGCCAAUAACCAUGCCCUUGUCAUCUAUGCCAUAUGUGCAAAUUGGGUUUAUUUUAAUCGCAUAUGCAUGGUUACUACAAUGAGAUUGCAAAAAUGCGAUAUGGUUGGUCUCAUGCAUAACAUAAGAGAAGUCAAGCAGAUUGUCAAACAUCAUGUGACUUGUAGAGUUCUCACAAGAUAUCCUAUGCAACAUGGCAUCUCUACUAAUAGAAUCCACAUGAGAAUCAUCAGACAAAUCAUAAAUGGGCAAUUCAUCAUACGAGGAAGUACAUAAUCAUGAAGCAAUCGGAAUAGGUAGAUUAUCAUCAUGCAAUCAAUCAAUGUCCACUAAUAUGAGGAAGUCGCAUAAUCGGAAUAGGUGGAUUAUCAUCAUGCAAUCAAUCAAUGUCCACUAGUGGUACAAGAGCAUCACCUUCACCUAUGUUACCUUUUACCAUCCACUCAUGUGGUGUCGGUGAUGUGGUAAAGACCAACUUGUGGUUAUCUUCAUCGUGAUUGGACCGUGUGGGGGGUGCAUAUAUUCCACCAUGCCCAUCAUGUUGUACAAAGGACGGACGAAGUUGUUGAGGAUCGAGCCGUCAUCACAUAUGGGAACUAGCAUCAAAGGAUAAUAAACAAUAGAGGUAGAGGUUCAGUUUUUCGAAAUCAAAAUGUCCUCACAUGCCCUAUCAACUACGUCACUCUCUCCAUGUGGUGGCUCACACACUCCCUCAGAGUAGGUGCACUCGAUGUCACAGAUGGUGAACUCACUCAUCUCACUCAAGUGGUGGGGGUUGUGUUUCUCCUCCAAUGGGAAGUGGGGCAACUCAUCAAAUAUGGGGCUGAUUGUGAACUCACUCUCACUCUCAUAGGAAAUGCACUCAAUGUCACGUAUGGUGGAGGCACUCAUCUCACUCAUGUGGUAGUGGCUCUCCUCACAUGGAAAUUGGGGCAUCUCGGGAUAUGUGGGUGUCGGGCAGGUGUAAGUGCAAAAGUGUCCAUGCUCAACUCCUUUCGCCGCCUUGGAUGAAUGUAUAGUCCCAGCUCAACCUCCUCACCCAUAACACCUCAGAAGAUGAAUUUCGUAAGAUACGACAAAACAUCGAUCUCCUCCAAGACUGAAGGAAACAUCCCAAGCUCGACCUCGAUGCUUGAAUCCAAAUAUAAGUCCAAUAUGGGCGCCGUCUUUAUGUUGUCGAAGAGGGCCAAACUUGCUGCCAUGGUCGAAGGGAAAAUAUCAUGCUCGACCGUCUUGUCGUCGUCACUGAGGAUGAAGGACAAAGAUGGCACAUCAUCACUCGGCUCCAUGACCGAAGGGAAUUUUCCAUGCUCGACCAUCUUCCUUGGGAUGCUUCCCAAAAUGGAAGGACCAUCCAUGCAUGUAGUCGGUUCCUUUGGUGUUGGUAUUGAAGCUUAACCUUGGUGGUUUUCAUUGCACGGUCUUCUCCUGAGCUCGUGAAGAUUGGAAGUAUUGUGAUGUAGAGCUUGUAGUCAGCGGAGUUCUUGGUCUUGGCACACUUCUUUCUUGCUGUCGUCUUGGCAGUCGUCUCGAAGAUGAGGACAUUAUCGCGUGAUGCUUGCUUCAGAUGGGUGAUCCAAUGAUGUGCGACUUAGGCUCUGUGCCUUGAAGAUGACGAACGGGAAGAAUACUUGUAGUUGGCAAACAUGUGUCGAAAGUGAUCCAUGUGAGCGUCCAACUUGUUGUCAGUAUAGUCCCUUUUCCAAGCUUUGUAGUGUUGUAUGUCGAUGGCGAGUCACUCAACUUGGUCACAAAAGUUAGCUUGCAUUUCUUGUUGUAGUCCGGAGAGGUGACUUUUCUUGAUCUAGUUGUUUGCACCGUCGUUGACGUUGAAGACCGGUGAUGAGGUGAUUUGCCUAGCCAUCACAACACUAGAGCAAAGGUGAGGAGAAAAUUAGACAAACUAUACGAAGAUAUUGUUCCCAAAGUUGAGGAUGUAUCCCAUUUUACUCAAUGCCAAUUGAGAGAAUAGUGGAAUUGCUACCAGACUUGUUCACUUACACCUACAAAGUAAAGCUUAUCAGGUGGCUUGGUUAGGACAAGUAGCACAAAAUUCAAGAAAAAUGUUAGUCAAGAUAUCGAAAAUGUUGAGGAAGAUUAACAAAAGUGCAAUGCAAAGCAAAUAGAUCAAUAGCUAUGGUGGCACUAGGAACACACACACACACACGGAUAAAUAAGUGGGAUCCACGCAACCAACGAAUGAGCACAAAAUGUGUGAGACUUGGGAAAAGCUCUUGUUGUAUGGAUACUAGAGAGACAAUAGUUCGAUUUCUCAAAUGGGAUACAUACACGCUUGUGUACCAACCUAAAAGAGUAAACGUGACAUCUUCAAUCCCAAGUAUGUUAUGUAUGUAUGAUGUAUGUGUAUUUACUAUGCAAAAUGGUUGAAUGCUAAUUCUAUUGCUUACAAGCUCUUUUGUAUCUCCUCUUUUGCUUAAAAGAUUUUUCUUCUUUUUCUUCUUUCUCUUUUUUUGAUAGGCUAUGCUUGAUGCUCGAACCAAGAUAUGAGGUAAGUAUGAUGGAUAUGCACGGGAGACACAUUUGACACAAUGUAGAUAAUGAGAUAUUUGCAUAGUAAAAGUAGCUAUGCAGCAUAAGAGUAUCACUACGCUGCACAAGCAACGUGGCCCGGCAAUACUCAACUUGCUAGUCUCAAUGGGUAAGGUAUACAAUAGGUUCGAAGCAAUCAAUGCAACGGCAAGGAAAUGGACAAUGGUGUCGUCGAGGUUACCGUCCUUUCUUAUGGUUGGGGUGCCGAAACGAGAAUCGGCGAUUGUCAAUGUCAAGGCCGAGGUGACGAUAACUAGCGGUGUUGUCGAUGUACAACCAUCCCUAAUUAGCCUAAACACCUUAGGAAAUGGAAACCGCAACUCAAAAUAUCAAUCCAACUUGGGUUAAUGUGGUGGAAGAGUAUGGUGGGAAAGCUAUGCAAAAGUUAUUGUAGAGGCCUAGUAAAAGAUGCCAAAAUGAAAAAAAUAUGAUGUAGUCAAAUGGUCUUGGAACUAAUUUUGUGGGAUGGAAGGUGUCAAUAGCUAUCCAAAGAUCUAAAUAACGUCAAAAUCAAACUCUGAAUGAAUUCCUUAUGGACAAAACGGUGAAACACUCGUGGCUAAAAUCCCACGUGCCGAAUGUCUGGGGGUUUGGCCGAAAUUCCAGGGCCGUGUAUCGACAGAGCAACACUAAUUGCACUCCAGGAGCCAGAUGAAAGGCCUACGGCCUCGAUGUUCGGCCCGAUGGCCCGGAUGUCCGGCCGGUGGCCCGGAUCUGCAGCCUGACAAUUCCAAAUCACGAUUUGGACUCGGGAACUUGAUUUGGGAUGGAUUUUGUCAAUCUUGAGGGUGAAAAUCGAUAAGGAAAAGAUUUUUUGGGUGUAUUUCAUGGUGGGAAAUCUAGAUCUACUUGCCAAACAUGAAUUCCAUUCCGGAAAUCAACAAAAUCUGAUCAAAACCAAUAAAUCACCAAAAAAUUGGUAUGGUUAAUAUUUGUGGGGAUUUUUUUAAUUGGGACAAAAACAAACUAAAUUUGGCUAGAAAACGAAGGUGAGGACCCCAAAUUCGUGAGAAACGUGGCUCUUGAUACCAAGAUGGUACGGGGUGGAACCCCUAGGUGUCGAUAUUUCAUGAAGAACGCGGGGAAGAACGGGGAGAAAUCAUUAGAGGAAACACUUAGGAACAAGUCCAAUCACACAUCCACUAGAGUCACCACACACAGGAUCCACAAAGGUACCUAAACAACAAAGGGAAAGUGGAUACAUGGUAGAGUUCAUCCAAAUCUCCAAGAGAGAUGGGACUUGAAAUCCAUGAUGGAUCUUCACUAGAAAGGGGCCUUGACAUCCACUAAGGGGUCUUAUCACAUGGAGGCAGCAUCCCCAUGGGAGAGGUAGUGGAAGGACAAAUUCUCAAUUAAUCUAUGAGCUAAACCAUUGCUAACCAUAGAAACAGGAGGAGGUGGUCUAUUUAUAUUACAAGGAAAGAUGGGGGUAAGAGAUGGGGAUACAUGAGCUCUUGGAUGUGGUUGCGUGCAGGCACCGGAUUUCCGGGCUAAGGGCCAGAUGUUGGUCCAUUCGCGUGGCCCAGGAUGUUCGGGGCUUUGGAUGGAUAUCCGGCCUGGCACUAGUUAGGGAGUCGCGGUGCUGGAGUCUUCGAGUCGGAUUCCCGGGUGAAGGCCGGAUGUCCGGGAUGGGCCAGACAUGUGUGGUGAUGCCGUAUGUCCGAACCUUGUACCUUGCCGUCCCUUCCUUGGCGUUGGCGGGGUCUUCAGGCGCCGGAUGUCCGGACAAUGGGCCAGAUGUCCGGCCGCUAUAGACUCUGAGCGCCUACACUUAAUGGUCUUCGUCGUCCGGCUUCGUGCUGGCCUGGCCUUCACUCCAAAUGUCUCCAAGGUCACCUUCAUGGUACCUUCGUUUGCAUAGUGUUUCUGCUGGAGGUAGCAUCCAUGUCUCGAGUGAACCAAAACGAGAGAGACUUAGGAUCGAGUUCACCUUAUGUUGAAUGGUACUUUGAGCUUGGGGAGAAGUCGGUGUGUACAUGCGGAUGACCGUAGGAUGCUCCGCGUCACUUUCUUUCCACUUUGAGUCCUUUUGAUCUCUACCACCAUACUCUAUUCCACCCAUAUGCCAUAUCCAUGAUUCAUGCUCAUGUAUUGGGUGAUAUUGAAAAUGAUGAAGCACAUUAGAAGUACGAUCAAAUUGCCUGACUUGAAAUCGAGGUGAUCAUGAUUUAUAUUUAUGCGGUGAGGACAGAGUUAAGCCAUGCUAAUAUGAUAAAAUGAGUAGGGAAUAACAUUCUUUAAGGAUCGUAUAUUAUGAAUAUGAAUGAGUCUUAUGUUUAUGUUUAUGUAUGUUAUUAUAUUAAUAAAAAUUAGUUUAUCGUUUCUCCAGUUCAUACCUAAAAUAUGUUACAUGUUGGGUAGCAUGUCGCAUCGAAAAUUAUUUUUAUCAUUUACCUACUCNNNNNNNNNNNNNNNNNNNNNNNNNNNNNNNNNNNNNNNNNNNNNNNNNNNNNNNNNNNNNNNNNNNNNNNNNNNNNNNNNNNNNNNNNNNNNNNNNNNNNNNNNNNNNNNNNNNNNNNNNNNNNNNNNNNNNNNNNNCUACUCGAGGACGAGCAAGAAUUAAUGUUGGGGAUGACGAUACGCCUCCAACAUAUCGAUAAUUUUUUAUUGUUCCAUAUUAUAUUAUCAAUCUAGUAUAAUUUAUAUGCAAUUAUAUGCAACUUUAUAUUAUUUUUGGGAACUAACCUAUUAACUAGCUCCUAGUGCGAGCUGUUGUUUUCUACAUGUUUUUUGCUUUUUAGAUAACGAGUACGAAAUGGAGUCCAAACGCUAUGAAACUUUUUGAUGAUUUUUUCUGGACCAAAUAAGACCUAGAAGCUUUGGAGGCAGACCAGAAGACGCAUGAGGAGAUGUCAAGGCAAUAGGGCACGCCCAAGGGUGUAGGCACACCCCCUUGCCUUCUGUGCCCUCAUGGUUUUGUCUAACCUAACUCCACCCUUAUAUAUUCUCCUUUAUCGGGAAACCAAUCGAGAGCAACCCGAAACACNNNNNNNNNNNNNNNNNNNNNNNNNNNNNNNNNNNNNNNNNNNNNNNNNNNNNNNNNNNNNNNNNNNNNNNNNNNNNNNNNNNNNNNNNNNNNNNNNNNNNNNNNNNNNNNNNNNNNNNNNNNNNNNNNNNNNNNNNNNCUCUUUCUGCCGCUACAAGUCUCUGUUCCAACAGGAGUCCAUCCGGAGACCUUUUCUAGUGCCCUGCCAGAGGGGGUAUCGAUCAUGGAGGCCAAGUACAUCAAUCUUGCUGCCUCCAUGAUGUUGUGUGAGUCAUUCACCACAGACCUAAGGGUCCAUAACUAACACAUAGUUCUUCAAUAUAAAGUUCACCAUGAUUCCCGCGGUGAUCUAUUCGAUGUAAUAUCCUUUUGUGGUGUGUUUGUUGGGAUNNNNNNNNNNNNNNNNNNNNNNNNNNNNNNNNNNNNNNNNNNNNNNNNNNNNNNNNNNNNNNNNNNNNNNNNNNNNNNNNNNNNNNNNNNNNNNNNNNNNNNNNNNNNNNNNNNNNNNNNNNNNNNNNNNNNNNNNNNNNNNNNNNNNNNNNNNNNNNNNNNNNNNNNNNNNNNNNNNNNNNNNNNNNNNNNNNNNNNNNNNNNNNNNNNNNNNNNNNNNNNNNNNNNNNNNNNNNNNNNNNNNNNNNNNNNGGUUUGGUUUGGCCAACUUGACUAAUAUAUAUUUAGUGGGAGUGGCGCGUUGUAAAGGGUUUAAUCUUGUGGUGCUAAAUUCGAGUGACUGAAAAGGACAUGAGACAUAUUUGUAUUGUUUCCAUUAAGGAUAAAACAACACGGCAUGAAUGUAUUUCUUCUCUUACUUUGUCUACAUCAUGUCACCUUGCUCCAAGCAUUUCUGUGUUUGAUAUUAAAUACUCUAGAUGCAUGCUGGAUAGCAGUCGAUGAGUGGAUUAAUAGGAUGCAGGAAAGAGUUGGUCUACUUGUUUAUGGACAUGAUGCAUAUAUAUAUAUAUAUAUAUAUAUAUAUAUAUUCAUUGCCUUGGAUAAGAUGUCAUAAUUAUGUGCUAUUCUCUCACUUGCCCAAUGGUAUGAUAGUUUCAAGAGAGAAGCCUCUAUCAAAAACUAUGACCCCUGGGUCUACUCAAAUUAUAUUGCUAGAACUAAAAGAAUAUUGCUGCUAUUUAUGUUUUGUCAUUGAAUUUUAAAUUUAUGUUAUCUAUCUAGCAGUAUUUAAUCUUUGCAAGUAAUGAGUUUAAGGGGCUCGACAACCCUCUUGCCCGCGUUGGGUGCAAGUCCUUGAUUCUGUGUGUCUAGGUGGUGGUAAAUAAAGUGUGAAUGAUUCUCCUAUUGGUUCGAUAGCCUUGGUUCUCACUGAGGAAAAUACUUAUCUCUACUGUGUUGCAUCUCCACCCCUCUUCGGGAAAAAACCCAAUGUAGUUUCCAAGUUGCAUUGGGUGUGUCCUGUUGUCAUGUGGACAACAGGUGGCACCCUCUCUGGUAUUUAUUUGUUCCAGUAUUUUAUAUAUAUUCAAAUCUCCGUGAAGUUUGAGGUCAUUUGGAGCUCCGCAAAAUAGCUAUGUGUGAUGUAGCUCUUUUAGGUCCAGAAUUCCAGUUGCUGGUAAUUUCUCUCUCCAUGUAAAUAUUGCAAGUUAAGAGAGAAACAACAUUAGAAUUACAUCAUAAAGUUAAAUAACGACUAAAAACUUAUAAAUAACAAUAGGAAAACAUGGUACAAAAUUGAUGUAUCACUAGCCCGUACAGCUGUUAACUAUCUUGCGCUUAUAUACCUUGUUUCACAUAGUGUUCCAGAUUCGGCUCACAAUGAAGGUUUUUUCAUGGAACACAUUUAGUAUAUAUUUUAGGACAUGCAUAAUUCUGGAAAUCACACUAGUUUAAUGUUAAUAACUAAUUAACCGUGCAUAAAAAUAAAACACAUCAUAUAUGCAACUUGCUCAAAUUUCCAUCUAAUUUCACAAUAUCCAUCUUUCCUUCAUGUUAAAAAUAUUUAAAUUGAUGUUUGAAUUAAUUUGCGUAAAUGCCAUGCUAGAACGAUUUAAUUCAUAUCUGUAGCUCCGAAUUAAAUGAACUAUAUAUGUAACUUGAUUAUAAAAACAUACAGAAUAAUAGGUGCACUUUAUUUCCCUAUUUAACGACAAUAAAAUCGAGUUUUGGGCAAAACAUCAGAAAAUCUGAAAUUUGUAUAUGGCGUCGUUUCGGAAACGGUAUAUAUUUUUUCUGUCCGCAUUUAAAUUGCCACGAUAGAUAGUUUAUUUAUAACUCACCUCUUUCCAUGAUAAAUAUCAUUUAAACUUGUUGGGUGACUAUACAAAAAUGAACUAAAUAAUUCAAAUGUGGAGUUUCAUCAAUAUGCAACUCGUUAUAUUAAACUUCACUUAAUGUGUAGUCUUUGAUUGUUGCACCUUGUCAUGCCAUGCAUAAUUUAUUGGACAUGCAUCAUAUUUUAUUUUGCAUUGUGUAAUGAAUAUUUUGUGGUGUUUACAGUGUCAUUUUUUUUAUUUUUCGAAUUGCUUCUUCUCGCUUGAGUCCCGAUAAUGUUACAGAAUGUGAGGAUUCAUUUAACUGCGCCUGUUUGUCUACUUAAUAGAUUCAAUAUUCUUCAAAGGGGGAUUCCAGGGAAGAUGAUCAUUACCUUGGAUAUCACUACUAUCUUUGAUAUGUUAUAUGUCUCAUUGUUGUCGCUAUGUCUCGCUACCUACCACUUGUUUUCCAAGCCUCCCAAACUGCCAUGAUAAAGCCUCUAACCUCCACCAUCCUAACAAACCGUGGUUUGUCUUUGUUACCUCUUGCUCGGCCUCCACCAUGUUGUGACAUGGGUAUCAUGGGAUAUCACACUUUGUAAUUAAUGCAUCUACACACUUUGUAAAUGGUGGAAGGCUUGGCCUUGUGGUUGGUGUUUUUCCACUCUUGGCGACCUAGUUUUUGUUAUACUGAUGUAAUGUUCCUUGAUGAGCGCUCCUAACAUGUUUGGAGUUUGUGGGGCCCCUUGAUAAUUCAUCUUUGAAUAGAAUUCUUCCAGCAAGGCCCAACAUUGGUACUAAAAUUUACCAAAUAAUAAUACUGAAUUUACUUACUACACAGGGCAUAGUUAACUCACGGAUUAUUAAUUCCACAUAAGCAGGUGGGCCAGUGCGUAUGAUGCUAUUUCAAAAUAAAUUGUGUGCGGCUUCCCAUGGGGAAAUUCGGAUCCCAGUUGUUGUAUGUUGCGCUCAUCUGGUCGUGUCAUGAGAAUGAGAUACACGUGGCUCCUAUUGGGCUUGUCGACACGUUAGGAGGUCUUGUUAGACUUGUGUUACCAUACUCGAAUGUUUGUGCACCAGGAUUCCGAAGAUACUUCGGGAUAUUCCUAUACUUAAGUCUUUCAAAGUAGCUUGUGGUUAAUUUGUGAUGGAUGAGUUGGAGCACCCCUUUGAUGAUUGAUACUUCUCCAACAUAUCUACUUUUCAAAACAUUUUUGCUCUGGUUUUGGACUCUAAUUUGCAUGAUUUUAAUGGAACUAACUCAGAAUGAUGCUCCUUUCAGUAGAACUAACUUGGUGUUAUUUUUGUGCAGAAAUAAAAGUUCCCGAAAUUGGACGAAACUUUGUUAUGCUUAAUGCUUGUCACUAGGGCCCGGAUGCCAUGAUUUUAGAUGUGAACCUAUUAUGUUUUCAUGAAUAUGAUAGUGAUUUGGAUCCUAUCUUGCAAGUUUUAGUCACCUAUUACGUGUCAUGAUCUGCAUACCCCAAGGUGACAAUAAUUGGGAUUCUUUCAGGUGAUUGUUGUAGUUUGAGGAUUUCAUAUAUUCACCAUGUGUUAAUGCUUCUUUCCAGUCCUCUAUGAAAAGUAGGCCUUAAUACCCCUUAGUUUCCAUUAGGACCCUGCUUCCAUGGGAGGGUAGGACAAAAGUUGUCAUACAAGUUCUUAUCGCAAGCACGUAUGACCAGAUACGGAAUACAUGCCUACAUUACAUUAAUGAGUUGGAGCUAGUUCUGUGUUGCCCUAGUGUGUAACUGUUAUAUUAUUGAUGUCAUCUAAAUCAUUAUCCAUCACCAAUCCACGUGCCUACUCUUUACAUAUACUGAAUCUUGCUAAGUUACAAAUGUUGAUGUCACUGUCACACCUGUUACUCAAUUGUUACUGUUAUUAUUGUUACCAAUGUUGCUACUAUCACUAUUACUGCUUCUACUAUCAUUUACCGUGCUACUAAGUCUUUGCUACACAGAUUUAUCCUAUGUGUAGUUGAAUUGCCAACUCAACUCUGAAGGACAAUAAAUAUUCUUUGGCUCCCCUUGUGUCGAAUCAGUAAAUUAGGGUGAAAUACUACCUGUGAAGACUGUCGUGAUCCCCUAUACUUGUGGGUUAUCAAGACCUUUUGCAGGUGCCAUUGCCAGGGGAGCAUACCUAUAUUUAUUGUGUUAACUUAAUGAUAUACAAUUUCCACUAUGAAGUAUCUGAAAGAUACUCAAACUAAGGUUGUCCCCGCUCGCACGAGAGGAGGUAAGGAACUUCCAUCUAGCUGUGCUUUUGAUUCACCUACUGUUUUGAAUCAGCUUAUUACACCACCGCCUACUGAUCAUUCUGAUAUGUCACAUGAACUUGAUGAUGUUACUUUUGAAAUUAAUGAUGGCACUAUUCUACACAUGUGCAUACUGAAAUUGUGCCACUAAAUGAAUUACUUGAUGCUCAUAUUGCUAAAGCUAUAGAACUUGAAAAUGCUGAAACUGAUGAAGAUUUUGAAUCGCCUGUUACACCUUGCUCUCCUAAUAUAUAUGAAUUUCCUUAUGUACCUAAAGGUUAUGUUAUAGAUGGGUAAGUAGCUAGGGACUUUCUUUCUUGUGAAAAUAGAGAUGAUUUGAAGAAUAUACUAUGCAAACUAAAAGAAAAUUCUAUGAAGGAGAAAAUGAAACAUGAUCCUAAAUUUGCCACAUCUCAUAUAUUUGUUACUGACAAUGACUAUGAAUUCUCUAUAGACCUUGAAUUUAUUCCUAUAGUAGAGUCUGAUCCUUUCAAUGGUUAUGAAAAUGAAACUGAUGUCGAACAUCUCAUGAAGCUUAAUGAUAUUGUUGCUUUGUUUAAUAAUGAUAAAAAGAUAUGCUACUACUAUAUCCUUAAGAUUUUUUCCUUUCUCGCUAAAAAGAGAGUCCUAGGAAUGGUUCCUUUCUGUGUAUCCUGGUUCAUAUCCGCUAAAAAGAUAUGCUACUACUAUAGCCCCCUUGAUAUGCUUUAUUACUUUUCUAAAAAAUAUUUUCCUGUUCAUAAGAAACAAGCUGCCUUACAAAAAAUAUUUAACUUUCUGCAAAUUGAAGAAGAGAAUCUCCCUCAAGCUUGGGGGAGGCUUCUCCAGUUACUUAGAGCGUUGUCUGAUCAUCCUCUUAAGAAAAAUGAAAUUCAUGGUAUAUUUUAUAGCGGGCUAACCGAUGCCUCUAGGGACUUCUUAGAUAGUUGCGUUGGUUGUGUUUUCAGGGAAAUAACUGUUAGACAAGCCGAAGAAUUAUUGAAUAACAUUUUGCAACAUGACGAUGAUUGGACACUCCUAGAACCACCUUAUUAACCUAUUCAAACGAAGAGAGGUAUUAUUCUAUUCCUCGGCCCUGAAGAUAUGGAACAAGGAAAAUGAUCUAUGAAAGAGAACGGUAUUAAAGCUUAAGGUGUCAUGAAAUUACCAGCUAUCGAAGAAAUACAUGGACUUGAUACCCCUACAGACAUAGUAGAGGUAAAUUCUCUGUGUUCCUUUUAUGUAAGUGAUAUACGUUAUACUAAGACUCCGGGUCAAUGCAUAGAUGAAUUUGAUAUUUACAUUGUUAAGGAAAAGGACUUUAGUAAUUAUCUCAAAGAUCAAUUAAGACAUAAUGCCAUGAUGAUAGACCGCUAAGUGACUUGAUGUUUCAAAUUGCUAAUGAUGUGAAAGUUCUAGGUAAACAUGUUUCUAUGGUUCACACCCAACUAGACCAAGUUGCUAAGUCACAAAAUGAUUUUCUUGCUAAAACAAAUAAUAAUAUGAAUGAUCAUCUUGUUAGAGUAAUGACUAGAGGAGGUAGGAUGACUCGGGAACCUUUUUAUCCCGAGGGUCACCCUAAAAGAAUGAAACAAGAUUCUGAGUGAAUUGAUGAAGAUGCACCUGGCUCAUCUAAAAAGAAAAAGAAAAGGAACGAUGAUAGGGAUUUGCAUGAUUCUAGUGAACCUGUUGAGCAACAUAAUGAUGUUUCUAUUUCUAAUGCUGGGACACAAUCUGGUAAAGAACACAGAGACAUGGGUUCAGAAAGCCAUGCCCUUCCCUCGUAAGCUUGCUAAAAGUAAGGAUGAGGAAGAAUUCCAACACUUUGCUGAAAUGAUUAGACCUGUCUUUUUGAGCACUCGCUUGACUGAUAUAUUGAAAAUACCACCGUAUGCUUAGUAAAUGAAGGAUAUUAUUUCCAACAAAAUAAAAAUACCAAAAAAUGAAAUUGCUACUGUGCUUGCUAAUUAUUCUUUUGAUAGUGGAGUACCUAAGAAGUUUGCAGAUCCUGGUAUACCCACAAAACCUUCUUUAUUAAAAAAAUUACGUUAAAACUACUAUAUGUUAUUUAGGAGCCGGUGUUAGUGUUAUGGCUUUAUCUCUAUAUAAAAGACUGGAUUUGAAUAAGCUUACACGCAUUGAGUUAUCUUUGCAAAUGCCUAAUAAAUCCACAACUUUACCUAUUGGAAUUUGCGAGCACGUCCCUGUUGUGGUUGCCAAUGUUACUAUCUUAAAAGACUUUGUUACUCUUGAUAUGCCCGUGGACGACAAUAUGUGGAUCAUCCUUGGAAGACCCUUUAUACACACUUGAGGGGAUGUUGUUAAUUGCAAUAAAAGCAAGGUUACUUUUCAUGUCAAUGGCAAGGAACAUACUUAGCAUUUUCUGGAGAAGCAAACUAUGGUUAAUAAUAUUAAUGUCAUUGAGCCUAGUGCCACAAUUAUCAUUGCAUAUUUCCAAAUACCUCUACCUACUGCCAAGAAAAGAUAUUAUGCUCUUUUUACUGGGGAGACGCAAAUUCCCAUUGAGGUAACCUAGAGUUAUACGAAAAUUCUUCUGUUUCAUAUCAAUCGGAAACGCUUGAUAAUAAGACUUGAUCAACCUUAUCAACGGAUUAUUUUGAAAGACUUGUGAAUGAUGAAUUGAGUAUUCACAACUCUCUAUAUCACAAGUUUAUUCUCUGUUAUCCUUAGUUAAGAUAAAAUUCCAUCGGGUACUAGCCAUGGAAAAGUGAGAAUACAGUAAUCUAACACCAAUAUAAAUAGAAAUAAAGUUUGCUACAGUACCUAAAGAGGUGGUAGUUUGUUUCCUUGUGAUAAUGAUAUCACGAGUUUCUGUUUAAGUUUUGUGUUGUGAAGUUUUCAAGUUUUGGGUGAUGUUCUCAUGGACAAAGGGAUAAAGAGUAGAAAGAGCUCAAGCUUGGGGAUUCCCAAGCCAUCCCAAGCCAAGUUCAAGGACACAAGAAGCCUAAGCUUGGGGUGCCCCGGGAAGGCAUCCCCUCUUUCGUCUUCAAUCCAUCGGUAACAUUACUUGGAGCUAUAUUUUUAUUCACCACAUGAUAUGUGUUUUGCUUGGAGUGUCGUGUAUUAUAGGAGUCUUUUCUUUUUGUUGUGUCACAUUCAUCCUUGCUGCACACCUUUUGAGAGAGACAUGCACUCAUCGUGAAUUUUCUAGAAUACUCAUUGAGCUUCGCUUAUGUCUUUUGAGUUAGGCAAUUUAGCUCAUUGUGCUUCACUUAUAUCUUUUGAGCUAGAUAACUUUGCUCUAUGUGCUUCACUUAGCUCUUUUAGAGCACGUCGGUGUCAUAUUUUGGAGAAAUAAGAACUCUCGAUCUUCACUUAUAUCUUUUUGAGAGUGCUCUCUUUGAGUAACUUGGUAGUUGGCUUGUGCUAUGAAAGUAGUCCUAAAGAUGAUAGGCGUCCAAAGAGGAUACAAUAAAACUUCCAUAUUCUUGUGCAUUGAUUAGAAAGAGAAGUCUGAUUCCUCUCAACUAGUUUUGAGACAUGGAUUUGGUAAUAUUAAGAGACAUGUUAGUAGGGUGUUGUGAAUCUAGAAAUAGUUGUGUUGAAGUUAGUGAUUCCCGUAACAUGCACGUAUGGUGAACCGCUAUGUUAGGAAGUCGGAGCAUAAUUGUUUAUUGAUUGCCAUCCUGUGUGUCGCGGUCGGGAUCGCGUGAUGGUUAACACCUACCAACCCUUCCCCUAGGAGUAUGCGUUUUAGCACUUUGUUUCGAUUACUAAUAAAAACUUUCGCAAUAAGUAUGUGAGUUCUUCAUGACUAAUGUGAGUCCAUGGUAUAGAUGCACUUUCAGUUUCCACCAUUGCUAGCCUCUCUAGUGCCGCGCAACUUUCGCCAGUACACAAAACCACCAUAGAUCUUCCUCAAAACAGCCACCAUACCUACCUACUAUGGCAUUUUCAUAGCCAUUCCGAGAUAUAUUGCCAUGCAACUCCCAUCGUUCCCUCUCAUGACUUGUGUCGUCACUUACAUAUUGCCAUUGCAUGAUCGUAAGAUAGCUAGCGAGAUGUUUCAACGUCAUAUGCUAAGCUAGAUAGUUGCACAUCCCGGUACACUACCAGAGGCAUUUCCUAUAGAGUCAUCAUCGUUCUAAGCAUUGAGCUUUGAGUAAAUGAAAGUGUGAUGAUCAUCAUUAUUAGAGCAUUGUCCCAUGUGAGGAAAAAAAGGCCAAAGUUGCCCACAAAAAAAAGAGAGAGAGAUAUGGAAAGAGGCCAAAGAGCCCAAACAAAAAAAAGAAAAAAAGAGAGAAAAAGAGAGAAGGGACAAUUCUACUAUCUUUUUCCACACUUGUUCUUCAUAAUAGCACCAUGAUCUUCAUUAUUGAGAGUCUCUUGUUUUGUCACCACCAUAUACUAGUGGGAAUCAUCAUUAUGUAACUUGGCUUGAAUAUUCCAAUGAUGGGCUUCCUCAAAAUUGCCCUAGGUCUUCGUGAGCAAGCAAGUUGGAUGCACACCCACUAGUUCUCCUUUUGAGCUUUCACACACUUAUAGCUCUUAGUGCAUCCAUUGCAUGGUAAUCCCUACUCUUUCACAUUGAUAUCUAUUAAUUGGCAUCUCCAUAGCCCUUUGAUACGCCGAGUCAAUGUGACCAUCUCCUCCAUUUUGCCUCAAAACCUCCACCACACUCUUUUUCACCUAUAGUGCUAUAUCCAUGGCUCACGCUCAUGUAUUGCGUGAGAGUUGAAAAAGGUUUGAGAAAGUAAGAGUGCGAAAACAAUUACUUGGCCAGUACCGGGGUUGUGCAUGAUUUAAAUUCGUUGUGUGGGGAUGAUGGAGCAUAGGCACACUAUAUGAUUUUGUAGGGAUAACUUUCUUUGGCUUUGUUAUUUCGAAAGUUCAUGAUUACCUUGCUAGUGUGCUUGAAGUAUUAUUGUUUUCAUGUCAAUAGCAAACUAUUGUUUUGAAUCUUACUGAUUUGAACAUUCAUGUCACAUGAAAGAAGUUACAAAGGACAAAUAUGCUAGGUAGCAUUCCACAUCAAAAAUUCAUUCUUUAUCACUUCCCUACUCAAGAACGGGCACGAGUUAAGCUUGGGGAUGCUUGAUACGUCUCCAACGUAUCUAUAAUUUUUUUUGGUUCCGUGCAAUUAUCUUGUCAAACUUUGGAUGUUUUGUAUGCCUUUUAUAUCUUUUUUGGGACUAACUUAUUAACUCAGUGCCAUGUGUCAGUUCCUAUUUUUACGUGUUUUUGACCCUUUUGAGAGGAGAAUAUUAAACGGAGUCGAAACAGAAUAAAACCUCCGAAAAGAUUUUUUUUCCGGAACAGAAGAUACGCGGGGAACUUGAGAACCAAGGCAAAGGACCCCGGGGGAGGUCACAAGCCCCCUAGGCAUGGCGUGGGGGCGCCUAGCAGGCUUAUGGGACCCCUGUGGCUCCUCUGCCCUACUUCUUCUGCCUAUAAAUCUCCAAAAAAUACAAAACCACGGGAGAGAGCCACGAAAAUACUUUUCCGCUGCCGCAAGCUUCUGUCUUCGCAAGAUCCCAUCUGGGGCACGUUCUAGUGCCUUGCCGGAGGGGGGAUUCGGACACGGAGGGCUUCUUCAUCAACACCAUUGCCUCUCCGAUGAUGUGUGAGUAGUUCACCAUAGACCUUCGGGUCCACAGCUAGUAGCUAGAUGGCUUCUUCUCUCUCUUGGAUCUUCAAUACAAAGUUCUCCAUGAUAUUCAUGGAGAUCUAUCUGAUGUAAUUUUCUUUUGCGGUGUGUUUGUCGAGAUCCGAUGAAUUGUGGAUUUAUGAUCAGAUUAUCUAUGAAUCUUAUUUGAGUUUCUUCUGAUCUCUUAUAUGGAUGAUUUCAUAUCCUUGUAAUUCUCUUCGAGUUGUGCGUUUUGUUUGGCCAACUUGAUCUAUAAUUCUUGCAAGGGAAGAAGUGCUUGGUUUUGGGUUCAUACCGUGCGGUGACUUCACCCAGUGACAGAAGGGGUAGCAAGGGACGCAUCGUGUUGUUGCCAUAAAGGGUAAAAAGAUGGGGUUUGUAUCUAUUGCAUGAAUUUAUCCCUCUACAUCAUGCAUCUUGCUUAAGGCGUUACUCUGUUUGUCAUGAACUCAAUACACUAGAUACAUGUUGGAUAGCGGUCGAUGUGUGGAGUAAUAGUAGUAGAUGCAGAAAGUAUCGGUCUACUUGUCUCGGACGUGCUGCCUGUAUGUAUGAUCAUUGCCUUAGAUAUCUUCAUGACUUUGCGCGGUUCUAUCAAUUGCUCGACAGUAAUUCGUUCACCCACCAUAAUAUUUGCUAUCAUGAGAGAAGCCUCUAGUGAACACUAUGGCCCCAGAGUCUACUUCAUAUUAUAUUUUCAGCUCCACACUUUUACUUUGUUGCACUUUUCGCCUUCAGAUCUCACCUUCCAAUCAAUUGUGAAGGGAUUGACAACCCCUUUGUAGCGUUGGGUGCAAGUUUGCUGUUUUUUGUGCAGGUACUUUAGGAACUUGGCUUGAUACCCCUACUGGAUUGCUACCUUGGUUCUCAAACUGAGGGAAAUACUUACUGCUACUGUGCUGCAUCACCCUUUCCUCUUCAAGGGAAAAACCAACGCAAGCUUAAGAGGUAGCAUCCUGCAGGAGGGAAGAAGAGUAGUGGAGCAUGUUGCUGAUCUGGGGUUAGAGGUUCCUCCACAUCCUGAUUUCCACCAUUAGCUGGACCAAAUAGACCAUUUUGUUGGAGCUAAAUCUGCAUACGUGCUUGGAAGGCUUGCUCAGCUGUUGUAUGAGGGCCAUGUAGAGGAUGAGGCUGAUUGCCAUCCCCCGGAGGUGGAUCUUCCCCAGCUAGAGGAACCUGAUGCACAUGAAUAUUGCCACCAGUAGUGCGCAAUAUAUAUAACGACACAUUCCAAGACCGACCCUGUCCACCCAUUUGCCUCAACACCAAACUAGAGGGAACUAGAGAGGGGCUCAUGACCCAAGUUUUGACAAGGAUGCAGGAGGCAGAUUUUUGAGGAGCAAACCAUAGAAUUAACUUUCCAAUCUAAGAGAAAGCAUUUUUAACCCAGAAAUUAGUUUGGUAGUCUUGAGGAAAAGCAAGCAACAUAUUCCGGCAUUGAGAACCAAGUGAUGGCAUACGCAUAUUCAGACCUUCAUCAUGCUUAACGAAAGUAACUUCAUUGUCUUCCCCUAGCAAAUAAGUUUCUCCAACUACCGCAUCACUGAUUAAAACAUUAUUGAAACGGAAGAGGCCUAGCCGCAAUGCAGUGUCUUGAACAUCUCUAACAAAAUACCUAUCAUGGUUUAGGAGUCUUCCAGCUUCUUGCCUGGCAACAUGACGAAGAUGGAUUGGGAUCGGUCUAUUGGAUUCAGCAAUGGAGAAGUCAUCGUUGCAAAGAGGUGGAGUGGCGCUGAGAGCCAUAUCUGCCCUAACCUUGCAGUCAGCUGGUCCUUGCUCGAUGGAGAAGCCCGAUGGAAGGAAAGCAAACGGAUUACACGUGAAGUUUGCGAUCACCAGCGAUGGAGGUGGGGAAGUCUCCAAGGUAGUAACAGUGAGGUCAACCGAAGGGGAAGAAACACGAGGAGCUUUGAGUUGUGGAAUUUCAGAGGAAUUUGGUUUUUGUUGCCAAACUACUUUCCGAAAGGGUCUCACUUUCCAACAACCGACAACAAAAUCACCAUACGAGAAACAGAAUUGGCAUCUCGGGUUUUUUUGCAAGAGCAAUAUGACUGGCCCAGUUGCAGGCUUCUAGAGCAAAAUAGGUCAUAGUUUGUAGCAUAGAUCAGGUUGUUGCAGCCGAUAACAUUUACACUACUGAUUUUUACCGGAGAUAUACUUGUCUAGUUUGAAAACCGGUAGCCAGAAAAAACUGCAUCGAUAUGACCUAGCUCGAAGCAGAUAAAGCAUCUAGGCCCAUUGAUACAAGAAUUUUUGCAGUGCCCCAUACUGAAACACGAAGUGCAUGCAAGUUUGAACUUACAAAUGAUAGAAAUAAUCUCUGAUUUUGAAUACCCCACAGAAACCAGUUCACAAAUGUCUUCCCACUGGAUGCAUGGCAUAUAUGACGUAAGUUGACGAGUCCUUCAUUUGAAAAACCUCUUUGACGUAGGUGAAUCUAACACAUUAAAAUAUUUCAAUUGAAAAAGUUUGAAAGCACAAAUUUUAACCGAAGAAAGCUCAUCAACAUGGCUAUGAGUCUUAGGCAAGAGAUCCAACUGAGAAUCAAUGGAAUGUGUAAAAGGAGGAUCUCUAUAAGCUUAUGGAGAAAUGUUGGUUUGAGAUCCCAUCUUCUUAAGAUUUUCCUUUGAAAGAGAAUUUAGCCAUGAUUUUGCAGCUCCAUUGAUCGAGCCAGAAGCACUUGUGGACCGACAAGCUGAGCCAGCCGCCAACGUAGGACGUUGAUGUCCAUGCACGCCAUUAGAGAUGAAAGCUGGAACAUUACGUAGGUAUUUUUGCUUUGCGUGGGAUCUGCCUCGAGGAGAAUUCCAAUCUCGAUCUAUAAUGCGAUCAAAAACCGAGGAGGAUAUGGGAGUACCUCAAAACAAAUGGAAAUUACAGUAGUGAAUGAAAUGCCCCACACGAUUUGAUGCAACUGAGAAUCUGAAUCUAUUAUCACUCAAAAUUUGAAUGUCCAACUUCUUGAUAUUGCCACCCAGGCAGGAAUAUAGAGCCAUGGGAACAGAGUCCACAUCUAGAUGGAAGGAGGCAAAUUUGAAUGCCACUACCAAGAAGAAAACCGAAGAAGAAAGAGAUCCAUCGAAGUGGAUCGGAGAUUUGAACCGACGACGCACCUAUGCAGCCACCUUCUGGUCAUAGGAGAAAUCCCAUGUGAUGAGAUAAUCAAUCCUAGUAAUCAAGUAGGGAGACCCAUGGAGAUCAUCGGCAAUGAGAGUGGUUAGGAGGUGUCAUGGGUGGAGGGGAGGGUGGUGGGAGGAGGAGGGCUUCAUCGCUCGAGAAAGGAUCCAUUCUUGGCAACAAAGAUCUUGCCUUUGGAUCUGAGAUUGGCAUUUGAAUCUUUGAUUCAAACCAGCUUCAAUUAACUUAUUUAAAGAUGCCUUAGCUCAUCCAUCAUAUCCAUCUCAUGCCAUGAUCAUGCAUCAUAUUGCUGCACAUGCCGUGUAUGGAUUGUGAUUGUUUGUUUCGGUAGGCUCGGCUCCACAUGAUACCCAGGACUAUCCUACUGAAGGAGUGUAUCCCUCCGUUGAUCCACAAGGUAAGCACCCCUUUUGAGCAUUCCGAUAAAAUACCAUGUUCUCGCUCCUUCUCUCAUUUAUUGCAUUAGGACACAUUGUGAUAAAUGUUUUUGCCUCGUAGUUGAACACAUUCCUCUACAUGACAUGUGCUUGCCGCAGUAAAUAGCUAAACCUUGUAACCUAGCAUACCUCGUAGAUGCUUGAGCCAUGAUGUGAUUUACAUGCUAUGCUUGCUAUGCUUAGAGUUGUGUCAGGCCUAUUUCAUCUUGGUGAUGAACUAGAGUAAAUAAAUGUGUUCUGGUGACUAAGGGUAAGUGUUGAAUCUGAUUUGAUAAAGGUAUCGAUGAGAGGCUGUGCAGGAGUACAUGUGGGUUGUCUCAUUGGAAUCGUUCUUAGGAACUGAGUUCCUGUAUGUGAUCCAAGACUAGUUACUACCACAUGGUGGGCCCUGAAAUAUGACCCCGCUCGGCUUAUUAAUCUCCUAGUACUCGACCGAGGAGUUGCAAGUAGUUUCUGGUGAUUGUAGUCAUGUUGGAGGCUGUGCAUAGUGCUCACCUUAGAGGUGGGUUGUGACGCGGUAGGAAGUGGCACAGUGUACCAAGUAGCACCCGGAUGGUGGGCUUGGGAACCCUGCGCACAUCGUUUUGGACCGUAGUGGAAACUUUGGCCGCACUUCUGUGCGGGUUCAGUCUCAAAUAGGCAAUAAACCUGGACUAGGUAUUAGUGUGGUUAACGGUCGUGGCCGACUACCUCGCUGGGCUUCCGCUUGAAGGUUGCCGAGGUGCGUGAAGUGCACAUGGUGAUAAGUGGCAAGAGCGUGUGUGAUGAAGUACACCCCUGCAGGGUUAUAAUCUAUUCGAAUAGCCGUGUCCGUGGAUCUGGACUGCUUGGAUACAUAUGUUGUUCAUAGAUAACUUUAAUGGCUACUGAUAAAAGUAUCAAGAUAAGUGUGAGUAUCAUGGAUGGCAUUCUCGUAGGGAGACGGGAAAGAAUCCAUGAUAGUGUAUUGUUGUGGUGGUAGUGGACUCGUGUACGACUUAUCAAAACUUGUUUAAAAAUACUUGUAGUUGUAGUAUAGAUUAGCCAAGAGUCAAAGCUGGCUUGCUGCAUGAAACCCCACAAACCCCUUUGUUGAAACUUGUGCAUGAGUAGUUAGAUCUGAUUUAAAGUCUUGCUGAGUACUUUUGUACUCAUCUUUGCUUAAUAAAUGUUGCCGAAGACACCCACGAACCAUCUGGUGGGUUCUACCUAGACGUCGAUGAUGACGAGUAGUUGGUGUCCCAACUACUACCUGGCCCCUUCAGAAGGGAUCUGUAGAUAGUCAGGCUUUAUGCCUUUUCCUUUCGUCUGUCUUUACCUAGACAGCUUUAAUGCUUCCGCAUAGCUUGUAUGACUUUGUUUGUAUGACUUGAGUGUCGGGUCAUAUGACCCCUACCUGUAUGAACUUAUUAUGUAAGACUCUUCUAAGUCUUCUAAAUAAAUGUUGUGAUGUUAUAUGGUUAUGUUGUGAUGCCAUUGUUGUAUCUAUGCAUAUUAAGUAUGUCAUGCGUAUGUGUGACGUGCUGUGAUAUGUAUGGGGUUCAACACCUAGUUGUCCACCUUUAGUAGUACUCUUUACAGAGCAAUGCCCCUUUGUGAUACCACUGCGCCUUGGUAGCUUGCUACUGCUCCGGACACAUUGGUUGACCGACAUGUAUCCUUCUUAGCUAUUGUGUCUGUCCCUUUGAGGAAAUGUCUCGUAGUGAAAUGGAGUCCUUGUAGCUUGUCAUGACUCGUCUACACAUGUUGAUGACCGACACCUGCUUUGCUUUGUUAUGUAUGAUUGUCUCUCUAUGGAUGUACCACUUUGGUUUAUAACUAGUUAUGUCCACCUGGGUUCUUUGACAUUGGAAUGUUGGGGAUACAUUGCAUACGUGAGUCAAAAGACGCAAACGGUCCCGACCAAGGUAAUUUGGCAGCCGUGGGGUUAUCGGCCAAGUUAAGGAUCACGUGUUACUACUCCGUACACUGUAGGAAAGUGGUUUGAGAGUGAAUCCGAGUUUUCUAGUUUGUUUUUGGGCAAAAUUGUUGACCAUGGAACCUUGAACUUGAUUUUUUAGUGGUUAUGCUAUCCAAUGUGUUGCAGGAUCUCUCAAAAUUGUUUUUGAGCAUUUUCAUCCGUUAUGCUGCCUGAUUUUAGUAGAGCUCCAAUGCCUCUACAUUAUUGUCUAUUUUAGAUACCUCCUCAUCCUUCUCGUCAGGUGGUCCGUUUGACUAGGUGCAUUGAUGUACCGGGUCACACGGCCAUGUUGGUCAGGAAGAUAUCAGUAGCCGGUUACCGUUGGUACCUAGAGUAUACGGUGGAAGAGCAGUACUGGGACUUCGACCAGAGCUAGUAUAUGUGUACUUUUAGGGUAUAUCUAGAUUACCUUGGAGCCGAGGAGCUAAUCCAUUGGUCUUAUGGGUUGGGGGUUACCGUUGACAUGGCUAUCCAGGAUGCAGCCUCCUUAAUGUUGACCGUCAUGAGAGAAAAUCAUGCACUGAUGUAGAAUUCAGAGUUCUGUUAUAUCCCAGCUUCUCAGCCAGGAGAAGAAGGUUAUCUCAGUGGAUUUUAUUAUGAUUCUUCUUUGGAGGACCCGUUGCUACAGGUUACCACCCAGCUGUUAGAGAAUAGAGACCGAUAUGCUUGUGCUCUUUGCAUGGAGCUUUAUGCUACUCGUGCCUGUCUAUGGACAACUAUGACACAGCUGGCAUCGGUCAUUUAGACAAGCUAUGGAGACAUGGAGAUGUUGAACCCAGUACAGACUCAUUUGCCAGGUCACGUAGAUUGGCCUUCUAUUCGAGGUGUGACCCCUCUUCAUGGACCUCUAUUGCCGCCAGUCAGGGGACAGACCCACAUCUUUGUUCUGAUGGUUUCCAGGGAUAUCACCCUAGGGUGUUUUGUGACCCUCAUGUUUAGCUCCCAGGUCACGGAGGAAACCUGUAUGAGCUGUUCUACGCGGAUGCUUGAGUUUGUGAGUGGUGCAGUAGUAUUGCAGCAGUUAUAUUGCCCACAAUCCUGCAUGUCUUGUGGAAUAUGACUGCGUUAUGAGAUGAGUUCCAGAGGCAUAGAUAAAUAAUGUAUAGGAAGCUUGAAAAGCCUUUGAUGAGUAGUGUCCUCUUUUCAGUAGUUUUCUCUUUGCUUUGAGUUUGUACUAAACUAUGUUAUGGUGUGUAUGAACCAUGGUGUUUAUAUGGCAGUUUGCUUAUCACCAUGAUGUCCGGAUGUUGUUCCGCAUUCCAUAUUGUUCAGUGCAUUUCUUAACCCCUUUGCUAGAGUUGAUGUUGAUCUAGUCUAAGCUGUGAGUUUGUUUGUGAGGAUGGUGUUCACGAGGCUCAACAGUGCCCCUGUCUAUGAGCAGGGAGAAGGUAGUCAAGCAGCUGAGGAAAACCUGCCUCACCGGCCCUCUCUAGCGGAGGUUAUGUUAGAGGCAGAAAGGAACAAGAGAGAAACCAACUGUUUGUUAGAGCGUAUUGAGCAGAAUACACCUCGUCAGCACCGAAAUAACUCACCAAACCUCAAUGACUUUGUGAAGCUAAAUCCACCCAAGUUUCAUCACUCCGUCGACCCCCUCGACGCUGAUGAUUGGCUCUGUAGCAUUUCACGCAAGAUACGUUAUGCCAAUGUUGCUGAGGUUGAUAAGGUGGCAUUUGCUGCUUACUUUCUGGAAGGCCCCGCCAAUCUAUGGUGGGAGAAUUAUGAAGCUAUGCGCCCUGCCGGAUCAGCAACCAUGUGGGCUGAUUUCAGCGGAACUUUCCGUCUGCAUCACAAUCCAGAAGGGUUAAUGGGCCGCAAGAGAGAGGAGUUCUAUACAUUUACUCAAGGGAAGCUGCCUGUGGAUGCAUAUAGCCAUGAGUUUGGAAAGCUCGCCCACUAUGCAACUGAAGAGGUGUCAACUAACGCCAAGAAGCAAGCAAGGUUCUGCAAGUGAUGAGCACCAAACUUCAUCGUGAUCUGUUCCUUCAUGAAUGUGCGAGCUUCCAAGCUCUUGUCAACAAGGUGAUCAAUGUUGAAGCAAGACAUACUGAUUAUGAAGCAACAAAGAAGCACUCUCGUGAUUCUGGCUCCUCAUCCGGCUCAGCAUUUCAGAAGCGCCGGGUGUGGGUCCCGAAUAAUUCUCUACCACAAAGAUACACCGUGAGGCCAUCCUAUGUGGCGCCUCAUGCAAAUCAGACCAACCCUCCUGCCAAGACUUAUGGUGGUCCACCUGCCAAAGUUGUACCACGUGCCAAUCAAGUGGUCUGCUACAAGUGUGGAGAACCAGGUCACUAUUCACGUGAGUGUCCUCAGAAUAAUGCCUCCAAUAAACAUGGAAAGUCUCUUGGUCGGGGCAAGCCAGGCAAAGCAUUCUAUGUGAAGCCAACUCUUGCGCGUGGUCAUGUGAACUAUGUUUCAGCAGAAGAAGUUGCAGAGGAUCCCGAUGUCAUUUUGGGUACACUCCUUAUCAAUCGUCACCCAACAUUUGUUCUGUUUGAUAUCGGGUCAUCUCAUUCUUUCAUUUUCAGAAGUUAUGCGCAGUUGCAUACCAUGUCCUUUUGUGAUAUGCCUAUCCCAUAAGUGGUUCAAACUUCUGGUAGUAAAUGGCAGACCUCUAGGAUAAUUCAUCACAAUGAAAUUCUUGUGGACAGGCUAGUCUUCCUAGCAUCCUUGAUAGCUCUUAAGUCUUCAGAUAUCAAUAUCAUCUUGGUUAUGGACUGGAUGUCAGCUCAUUACGCCACGAUUGAUACUCAUUCUAUGAAUGUUCAACUUACACAUCCAUCGGGUGAGAUAGUUAAUGUCUCGACUCGAGCUGCCAAAUGCGAACUCCAUUGCCUCAAUGCUAGCCCUCUUCCAGAGCUAGAAGAUAUUCCGGUAGUCCAUGAUUUUCCGGAUGUCAUUCCAGAAGAACUGCCAGGCAUUCCACCUGACAGGGAUGUAGACUUUGUGAUAGAUCUUGUUCCACGAGCUGUUCCAAUAGCCAGAAGACCCUAUAAGAUGGCACCCUUAGAGCUAGCCGAACUUAUGAAACAACUAGAUGAGGACUUGAAUAAAGGUUUCAUUCGUCCUAGCUCUUCUCAUUGGGAUGUCCUGUCCUCUUCGUUAAGAAGAAGGAUGGAAUGGAUCGGAUGGUUGUGGAUUAUUGACUAGUUAAUCUGGUUAGCAUAAAGAACAAGUAUCCGCUCCCUAGGAUCAACGGCCUGUAUGAUCAGCUCACUGGAUCCUCAGUCUUCUCCAAGAUGGAUUUUAGGUUGGGUUACCAUCCAAUCGAGAACAAGAAUGGGAACAUUCCAAAAACGGCCUUCGUCACUCGUUAUGGCCAAUACGAGUACACCGUCAUGUCUUUCGGUUUAACCAAUGCCCCAACCAAUUUCUCUCGCUUGGUGAAUUCGAUCUUCGUGGAGUACUAGGAUAAAUUCAUCGUGGUUUACCUCAACGAUAUUUUCAUCUACUCAAAGAACGAACAAGAACAUGCCGAACAUCUAAGGCUAGUAUUGAUGAAAAUUCCAGAGCAUUGUCUUUAUGCCAAGUUCUCUAAAUGUGAAUUUUGGUUACCAGAAGUGACCUACCUUGGACAUGUAAUUUCUGCUAAAGGUAUUGUUGUCAAUCCCAAGAUAGUUCAAGUUGUCCUUGAUUGGACUCAACUUAAAUCGGUUAAGCAAGUUAGGAGUUUUCUUGGUCUAGCGAGAUAUUGUCGCCGCUUUGUCGAGAACUUGUCCAAGGUUGCAAAGCCUCUAACUGAACUCCUGAAGAAGGAUAAAAAGUUCGAGUGGACCCCACAAUGCGGGCAUAGUUUUUAGGAACUAAAAAGACGCUUGACUUCUGCACCUGUGUUGGUACCACCAGAUUUCUCCAAGGACUUUAUUAUCUAUUGCGACGCCUCACGACAAGGAUUAGGUUGUAUUCUCAUGCAAGAUCGUCAUGUGAUUGCAUACGCAUCUCGACAGUUGCAUUCACAUUAGGAUAAUUAUCCUACACAUGAUCUUCAGCUUGCAGCUGUAGUCCAUGCACUAAAAACCUGGCGACAUUACCUUCUGGGUAAUGGUUGCGAAAUUUACACUGAUCCCCAAAGUCUGAAAUACAUCUUCACCCAGCCGGAUUUGAAUCUCACGCAAAGAUGGUGGGUCAAGUUGAUCACAGGUUAUGACUUAGGGAUAACUUAAACACCGGGAAAGCCAAUGUCAUGGCUGAUGCACUAAGUCGUAAAUCUUAUUGUAACAAUCUGAUGUUACAACAAGGUCAACCACUUCUCCAUGAGGAAUUCCAGAAGAUAAACCUCCACAUUGUUCCUCAAGGAUUCCUUUCCACCUUGGUGGUGAAACCAACUCUUAGGGAUCAAAUCAUAGCUGGCCCAAAGCGUGAUAAGGGUAUAUCUUGGAUCAAGGAGAAUAUUAUUAGUGGAAACGCUAAAGAAUUCUCUAUGAAUGAUCAAGGUGUUGUGUUCUUUCAGAACGGUUUAGUGGUUCCUAAGAACGGUUAUCCGCGGCAGUUGAUCCUUAUGGAGGCUCAUGAAUCUCCUCUGACAAUUCAUCCUGGUAGUACCAAGAUGUAUCAGGACCUACGCGAGAGGUUCUGGUGGACUAGGAUGAAGAGAGAAAUUGCUCAGUUUGUUGCAAAUUGCGAUGUUUGUUGUCGAGUUAAAGCAGAACAUCAAAGGCCUGCUGGCACCCUUCAACCUUUAGCUAUUCCUCAGUGGCAAUGGGAUAAAGUCGGUAUGGAUUUCAUGACCAGAUUUCUGAGGACAAAGAGAGGGAAUAAUGCUAUCUUUGUGGUCAUUGACCGUCUUUCCAAAGUGGCUCAUUUUCUUCCUAUUCGAGAAAGUAUAACAACUAGUCAGCUAGCGGAGUUAUGUAUUUACCGAAUAGUGUCUCUUCAUGGUGUUCCUUUGGAGAUUAACUUAGAUCGUGGGAGUAUCUUUACUUCUCUUUUUGGGAAAGUUUUCAAAAUGCCAUGGGGACUCGUGUCUCCUUUGGCACUGCUUUCCAUCCUUAGUCAAGUGGUCAAGUAGAACGAGUAAAUAAAAUCCUAGAAGACAUGCUUAGAGCUUGUGUUAUAUCUUUCGGCAUGCAUUGGGAGAAAUGUCUUCCGUUCGCAAAUUUGCUUAUAACAAUAGUUAUCAAGAAAGCUUGGGCAAAGCUCCUUUUGAAGUUCUCUAUGGACGAAGGUGUUGAACACCUCUUAAUUGGUCAGAAACCGGGGAGAGGCAACUCUUUGGUCCGAAUAUGAUCCAUGAGGCAGAAGAGCAAGUUCUCAUUAUUCAUGAAAAGUUGAAAACAGUCAAUCUUGUCAAAAGAGCCAAUAUGAUCGUCAUCAUAAGGUUGUGACUUUUGAAGUUGACGAGAGGCUUACCUUCGGGUUACACCUCAGAAGGGUACCCAUCGAUUAGGUAUCAAAGGCAAAUUGGCUCCUCGUUACAUUGGUCCUUUUCGCAUUCUUUCUACAUGAGGAGAGGUUGCCUACCAAUUGGAACUUACACCGCACCUUUCCAAGGUUCAUGAUGUUUUCCACUUCUUCCAACUCACGCGUUGCUUCUCGGAUCCUAUCCGUGAAGUGGACCAUGAAAUGCUUGAUUUCCAGGAUAACCUUUCCUAUCGAGAGUACCCUGUUCGUAUUCUUGACCAAGCUGAGCGUACCACCCGAUGUCUAAACCUCAAGUUUCUCAAGGUUCAGUGGUCAAAUCAUUCUGAAAAAGAAGCAACUUGGGAAAUGGAGGACCGUCUCCGUUUACAGUUGUUGGGGAACGUCGCAUGGGAAACAAAAAUUUUCCUACGCGCACGAAGACCUAUCAUGGUGAUGUCCAUCUACAAGAGGGGAUGAGUGAUCUACGUACCCUUGUAGACUGUACAGCAUAAGUGUUAGAGAACGCGGUUGAUGUAGUGGAACGCCCUCACGUCCCUCGAUCCGCCCCGCGAACAAUCUCGCGAUCAGUCCCACGAUCUAGUACCGAACGGACGGCACCUCCUCGUUCAGCACACGUACAUCUCGACGAUGAUCUCGGCCUUCUUGAUCCAGCAAGAGAGACGGAGAGUUAGAAGAGUUCUCCGGCAGCGUGACGGCGCUCCAGAGGUUGGUGAUGACCUUGUCUCAGCAGGGCUCCACCCGAGCUCCGCANNNNNNNNNNNNNNNNNNNNNNNNNNNNNNNNNNNNNNNNNNNNNNNNNNNNNNNNNNNNNNNNNNNNNNNNNNNNNNNNNNNNNNNNNNNNNNNNNNNNCCUUAAGUGUGCAGACCAUGCGGGUUCGAGAACUAUGUAGACAUGACCCGAGAGACUCCUCGGUCAACAUCCAAUAGCGGGACCUGGAUGCCCAUAUUGGAUCCUACAUAUUCUACGAAGAUCUUAUCGUUUGAACCUCAGUGCCAAGGAUUCGUAUAAUCCCGUAUGUCAUUCCCUUUGUCCUUCGGUAUGUUACUUGCCCGAGAUUCGAUCGUCAGUAUCCGCAUACCUAUUUGAAUCUCGUUUACCGGCAAGUCUCUUUACUCGUUCCGUAAUACAAGAUCCCGCAACUUACACUAAGUUACAUUGCUUGCAAGGCUUGUGUGUGAUNNNNNNNNNNNNNNNNNNNNNNNNNNNNNNNNNNNNNNNNNNNNNNNNNNNNNNNNNNNNNNNNNNNNNNNNNNNNNNNNNNNNNNNNNNNNNNNNNNNNNNNNNNNNNNNNNNNNNNNNNNNNNNNNNNNNNNNNNNNNNNNNNNNNNNNNNNNNNNNNNNNNNNNNNNNNNNNNNNNNNNNNNNNNNNNNNNNNNNNNNNNNNNNNNNNNNNNNNNNNNNNNNNNNNNNNNNNNNNNNNNNNNNNNNNNNNNNNNNNNNNNNNNNNNNNNNNNNNNNNNNNNNNNNNNNNNNNNNNNNNNNNNNNNNNNNNNNNNNNNNNNNNNNNNNNNNNNNNNNNNNNNNNNNNNNNNNNUUGACACGCAGAAAACAAUAGCAACAAAAUGACACGAUCAACAUGCUACGUCUAUUAGUUUGGGUCUUGUCCAUCACGUGAUUCUCCCAAUGACGUGAUCCAGUUAUCAAGCAACAACACCUUGUUCAUUAUCAGAAGACACUGACUAUCAUUGACCAACUGGCUAGCCAACUAGAGGCAUGCUAGGGACGGUGUUUUGUCUAUGUAUCCACACAUGUAAAUGAGUCUUCAUUCAAUACAAUUAUAGCAUGGAUAAUAAACUAUUAUCUUGACACAAGAAUUAUAAUAAUAACCAUAUUUAUUAUUGCCUCUAGGGCAUAAUUCCAACAGUCUCCCACUUGCACUAGAGUCAAUAAUCCAGCCCUCACAUCACCAUGUGAAUUACAUUGUAAUAAAUCUAACACCCAUACAGUUCUGGUGUCGAUCAUGUUUUGGCCGUGCAAGAGGUUUAGUCAGCGGGUCUGCUACAUUCAGAUCCGUGUGCACUUUGCUUAUAUUUACGUCCUCUUCCUCGACGUAGUCGCGGAUGAGGUUGAAGCGUCGUUUGAUGUGUCUGGUCUUCUUGUGAAACCGUGGUUCCUUUGCUAAGGCAAUGGCACCCGUGUUGUCACAGAACAAGGUUAUUGGAUCCAGUGCACUUGGCACCACUCCAAGAUCCGUCAUGAACUGCUUCAUCCAGACACCCUCCUUAGCCGCCUCCGAGGCAGCCAUGUACUCCGCUUCACAUGUAGAAUCUGCUACGACGCUUUGCUUGGAACUACACCAGCUUACCGCACCCCCAUUAAGAAUAAAUACGUAUCCGGUUUGCGACUUAGAGUCGUCCGGAUCUGUGUCAAAGCUUGCAUCGACGUAACCUUUUACGGCGAGCUCUUCGUCACCUCCAUACACGAGAAACAUCUCCUUAGUCCUUUUCAGGUACUUCAGGAUAUUCUUGACCGCUGUCCAGUGAUCCACUCCUGGAUUACUCUGGAACCUACCUACCAUACUUAUGGCCAGGCUAACAUCCGGUCCAGUGCACAGCAUGGCAUACAUGAUAGAACCUAUGGCUGAAGCAUAGGGGACGGAGCGCAUAUGCUCUCUAUCUUCAUCAGUUGCUGGGCACUCAGUCUUACUCAAUCUCGUACCUUGUAAAACUGGCAAGAACCCUUUCUUGGACUGUUCCAUUUUGAACCUCUUCAAAACUUUAUCAAGGUAUGUGCUUUGUGAAAGUCCUAUCAGGCGUUUUGAUCUAUCCCUAUAGAUCUUAAUGCCUAGAAUGUAAGCAGCUUCUCCUAGGUCCUUCAUAGAGAAACUUUUAUUCAAGUAACCUUUUAUGCUCUCCAAAAGCUCUACGUUGUUUCCAAUCAGUAAUAUGUCAUCCACAUAUAAUAUUAGAAACGCCACAGAGCUCCCACUCACUUUCUUGUAAAUACAAGAUUCUCCAACCACUUGUAUAAACCCAAAUGCUUUGAUCACCUCAUCAAAGCGUUUGUUCCAACUCCGAGAUGCUUGCACCAGUCCAUAAAUGGAUCGCUGGAGCUUGCACAUCUUGUCAGCAUUUUUAGGAUCGACAAAACCUUCGGGUUGCAUCAUAUACAACUCUUCCUUAAGGAAACCGUUAAGGAACGCCGUUUUGACAUCCAUCUACUAGAUUUCAUAAUCGAAAAAUGCAGCUAUUGCUAACAUGAUUCUGACGGACUUAAGCAUCGCUACGGGUGAGAAAGUCUCAUCGUAGUCAACUCAUGGAACUUGUGAAAAACCCUUUGCCACAAGUCGAGCUUUAUAAACGGUCACAUUACCGUCAGCGUCCGUCUUCUUCUUAAAGAUCCAUUUGUUCUGAAGAGCCUUGCGGCCCUCAGGUAGUAUCUCCAAAGUCCACAUUUUGUUCUCAUACAUGGAUCCUAUCUCGGAUUUCAUGGCUUCUAGCCAUUUGUUGGGAUCUGGGCCCACCAUUGCUUCUUCAUAACUUGCAGGUUCAUUGUUGUCUAACAACAUGAUUGAUAAGACGGGAUUACCGUACCACUCUGGAGCAGCGCGUGAUCUCGUCGACCUGCGUGGUUCAACAGAAACUUGAACUAGAGUUUCAUGAUCAUCAUCAUUAACUUCCUCCUCAACCGGCGUCGCAAUGACAGAGGUUUCCCCUUGCCUUGCGCCACCAUCCAGAGGGAUGAGAGGUUCGACAACCUCGUCAAGUUCUAUCUUCCUCCCACUCAAUUCUCUCGAGAGAAACUCCUUCUCAAGAAAAGCUCCGUUUUUAGCAACAAACACUUUGCCCUCGGAUUUGAGAUAGAAGGUGUACCCAACUGUCUCAUUUGGGUAACCUAUGAAGACGCACCUUUCCGCUUUGGGUUCCAGCUUUUCAGGCUGAAGCUUUUUGACAGAAGCAUCACAUCCCCAAACUUUAAGAAACGACAACUUUGGCCUUUUGCCAUACCACAGUUCGUAUGGUGUCGUCUCAACGGAUUUUGAUGGUGCCCUAUUUAAAGUGAAUGCAGCUGUUUCUAAUGCAUAACCCCAAAAUGACAACGACAAAUCAGUAAGAGACAUCAUAGAUCGCACCAUCUCUAACAAAGUACGAUUACGACGUUCGGACACACCAUUACGCUGUGGUGUUCCAGGCGGUGUUAACUGCGAAACAAUUCCACAUUGUCUUAAGUGAGCACCAAACUCGAAACUCAGAUAUUCACCCCCACGAUCAGACCGUAGGAACUUGAUCUUCUUGUUACGAUGAUUUUCCACUUCACUCUGAAAUUGCUUGAACUUUUCAAAUGUUUCAGACUUGUGCUUCAUCAAGUAGACAUAACCAUAUCUACUUAAAUCGUCAAUGAAGGUGAGAAAAUAACGAUAUCCGCCGCGUGCCUCUACGCUCAUUGGACCACACACAUCGGUAUGUAUGAUUUCCAACAAGUCACUUGCACGCUCCAUUGUUCCGGAGAACGGAGUCUUAGUCAUCUUGCCCAUGAGGCAUGGUUCGCACGUGUCAAGUGAAUCAAAGUCAAGUGACUCCAAAAGUCCAUCAGCAUGGAGUUUCUUCAUGCGCUUUACACCAAUAUGACCCAAGCGGCAGUGCCACAAAAAUAUGGCGCUAUCAUUGUUUACUCUAACUCUUUUGGUCUCAAUGUUAUGUAUAUGCGUAUCACUAUCAAGAUUCAAUAUGAACAAUCCUCUCACAUUCGGUGCAUGACCAUAAAAGAUGUUACUCAUAGAAAUAGAACAACCAUUAUUCUCGGACUUAAAAGAGUAACCGUCUCGCAAUAAACAAGAUCCAGAUAUAAUGUUCAUGCUCAACGCAGGCACUAAAUAACAACGAUUUAAGUUCAUCACUAAUCCCGAUGGUAGCUGAAGUGACAUUGUGCCGACGGCGAUUGCAUCAACCUUGGAACCAUUUCCUACGCGCAUCGUCACUUCGUCUUUUGCCAGCCUUCGUCUAUUCCGCAGUUCCUACUUCGAGUUGCAAAUGUGAGCAACAGAACCGGUAUCGAAUACCCAGGCACUACUACGAGAGCCGGUUAAGUACACAUCAAUAACAUGUAUAUCAAAUAUACCUGAUUUUUCUUUGCCCGCCUUCUUAUCUGCCAGAUACUUGGGGCAAUUGCGCUUCCAGUGACCCAUACCCUUGCAAUAGAAGCACUCUGUUUCAGUCUUAGGUCCAGCCUUGGGUUUCUUCGGCGGAUUGGCAACAGGCUUGCCGCUCUUCUUCGAAUUGCCCUUCUUGCCUUUGCCGUUUCUCUUGAAACUAGUGGUCUUGCUCACCAUCAACACUUGAUGCUCUUUACGGAGUUCAGACUCUGCGACUUUCAGCAUCGCAAACAACUCGGCGGGAGACUUGUUCAUCCCUUGCAUGUUGUAGUUCAACACAAAGCCUUUAUAGCUUGGCGACAGUGAUUGAAGGAUUCUGUCAGUGAUAGCUUCUUGCGGGAGUUCAAUCCCCAGCUCAGCUAGACGGUUUGAGUACCCAGACAUUUUGAGCACAUGUUCACUGACAGACGAGUUUUCCUCCAUCUUGCAAGCAUAGAAUUUAUCGGAGGUCUCAUACCUCUCGAUCCGAGCGUUCUUCUGAAAGAUAAAAUCUAACUCCUGGAACAUCUCAAAUGCUCCAUGACGCUCAAAGCGACGUUGAAGUCCCGGUUCUAAGACAUACAAGACUGCACAUUGAACUAUUGAGUAGUCCUCCUUACGUGCUAGCCAAGCGUUCUUAACAUCCUGAUCAGCCGUAGCGGGUGGUUCAUCUCCUAGCGCAGCAUUAAGGACAUAAUCCUUCUUCCCAGCUUGUAAGAUUAGCUUAAGAUUACUAGCCCAGUCUACAAAGUUGCUUCCAUCAUCUUUCAACUUAGCUUUCUCUAGGAACGUAUUAAAAUUCAGGAUGACUGUCGCGUGAGCCAUGAUCUACAACACAAAUAUAUUCAAAGUGGACUUAGACUAUGUUCAAGAUAAUUAGAGUUCAACUUAAUCAAAUUAUAUGCUAAACUCCCACUCAAAAAGUACAUCUCUCUAGUCAUUUGAGUGGUUCAUGAUCCACUUACACUAUCCCAAGUCCGAUCAUCACGUGAGUCGAGUAUAGUUUCAGUGGUAAGCAUCCCUAUCCUAAUCAUAUCAACUAUAUGAUUCAUGAUCGACCUUUUGGUCUCAUGUGUUCCGAGGCCAUGUCUGCACAUGCUAGGCUCGUCAAGCUUAACCCGAGUGUUCCGCGUGCGCAACUGUUUUGCACCCGUUGUAUGUGAACGUUGAGUCUAUCACACCCGAUCAUCACGUGGUGUCUCGAAACGACGAACUGUAGCAACGGUGCACAGUCGAGGAGAACACUAUUUCGUCUUGAAAUUUUAGUGAGAGAUCACCUCAUAAUGCUACCGUCGUUCUAAGCAAAAUAAGGUGCAUAAAAGGAUUAACAUCACAUGCAAUUCAUAAGUGACAUGAUAUGGCCAUCAUCACGUGCUUCUUGAUCUCCAUCACCAAAGCACCGGCACGAUCUUCUUGUCACCGGCGCCACACCAUGAUCAUCCAUCAACGUGUUGCCAUCGGGGUUGUCGUGCUACUUAUGCUAUUACUACUAAAGCUACAUCCUAGAAAAAUAGUAAACGCAUCUGCAAGCACAAACGUUAGUAUAAAGACAACCCUAUGGCUCCUGCCGGUUGCCGUACCAUCGACGUGCAAGUCGAUAUUUCUAUUACAACAUGAUCAUCUCAUACAUCCAAUAUAUCACAUCACAUCGUUGGCCAUAUCACAUCACAAUCAUAACCUGCAAACACAAGUUAGACGUCCUCUAAUUUUGUUCUUGCAUGUUUUACGUGGUGACCAAGGGUAUCUAGUAGGAUCGCAUCUUACUUAUGCAAACACCACAACGGAGAUAUAUGAGUUGCUAUUUAACCUCAUCCAAGGACCUCCUUGGUCAAAUCCGAUUCAACUGAAGUUAGAGAAACCAACACUUGCCAGUCAUCUUUGAGCAAAGGGGGUUACUCGUAACGAUGAAACCAGUCUCUCGUAAGCGUACGAGUAAUGUCGGUCCAAGCCGCUUCAAUCCAACAAUACCGCGGAAUCAAGAAAAGACUAAGGAGGGCAGCAAAACGCACAUCACCACCCACAAAAACUUUUGUGUUCUACUCGAGAAGACAUCUACGCAUGAACCUAGCUCAUGAUGCCACUGUUGGGGAACGUCGCAUGGGAAACAAAAAUUUUCCUACGCGCACGAAGACCUAUCAUGGUGAUGUCCAUCUACGAGAGGGGAUGAGUGAUCUACGUACCCUUGUAGACUGUACAGCAUAAGUGUUAGAGAACGCGGUUGAUGUAGUGGAACGCCCUCACGUCCCUCGAUCCGCCCCGCGAACAAUCCCGCGAUCAGUCCCACGAUCUAGUACCGAACGGACGGCACCUCCGCGUUCAGCACACGUACAACUCGACGAUGAUCUCGGCCUUCUUGAUCCAGCAAGAGAGAGAGAGAGGUAGAAGAGUUCUCCGGCAGCGUGACGGCGCUCCGGAGGUUGGUGAUGACCUUGUCUCAGCACGGCUCCGCCCGAGCUCCGCAGAAANNNNNNNNNNNNNNNNNNNNNNNNNNNNNNNNNNNNNNNNNNNNNNNNNNNNNNNNNNNNNNNNNNNNNNNNNNNNNNNNNNNNNNNNNNNNNNNNNNNNUAGGGCGAAUUCCUUAUAAUAGAGUGAGAUGCUAGGGUUUUUCUUAAUCCCCAUUUCACUUUAAUGCAAAAAUAAAAUAUGAUGCACACUCUAGCUAGGCACCAUGUAAUGGAAACCAGGGAUGUGACAACUCACACACACUUAAAAGAAUCUCGUCCCGAGAUUUUGGAGUCGUCAGGAAGAGCGCGGGGUACUCUUGUUGGAAUUAUGCCCUAGAGGCAAUAAUAAAUAUGGUUAUUAUUAUAAUUCCUGUGUCAAGAUAAUAGUUUAUUAUCCAUGCUAUAAUUGUAUUGAAUGAAGACUCAUUUACAUGUGUGGAUACAUAGACAAAACACCGUCCCUAGCAUGCCUCUAGUUGGCUAGCCAGUUGGUCAAUGAUAGUCAGUGUCUUCUGAUUAUGAACAAGGUGUUGUUGCUUGAUAACUGGAUCACGUCAUUGGGAGAAUCACGUGAUGGACUAGACCCAAACUAAUAGACGUAGCAUGUUGAUCGUGUCAUUUUGUUGCUACUGUUUUCUGCGUGUCAAGUAUUUAUUCCUAUGACCAUGAGAUCAUAUAACUCACUGACACCGGAGGAAUGCUUUGUGUGUAUCAAACGUCGCAACGUAACUGGGUGACUAUAAAGAUGCUCUACAGGUAUCUCNNNNNNNNNNNNNNNNNNNNNNNNNNNNNNNNNNNNNNNNNNNNNNNNNNNNNNNNNNNNNNNNNNNNNNNNNNNNNNNNNNNNNNNNNNNNNNNNNNNNNNNNNNNNNNNNNNNNNNNNNNNNNNNNNNNNNNNNNNNNNNNNNNNNNNNNNNNNNNNNNNNNNNNNNNNNNNNNNNNNNNNNNNNNNNNNNNNNNNNNNNNNNNNNUAUCUCGGGGCCCACUCGGUAAUACAACAUCACACACAAGCCUUGAAAGCAAUGUAACUUAGUGUAAGUUGCGGGAUCUUGUAUUACGGAACGAGUAAACAGACUUGCCGGUAAACGAGAUUGAAAUAGGUAUGCGAAUACUGACUAUCGAAUCUCGGGCAAGUAACAUACCGAAGGACAAACGGAAUGACAUACGGGAUUAUACGAAUCCUUGGCACUGAGGUUCAAACGAUAAGAUCUUUGUAGAAUAUGUAGGAUCCAAUAUGGGCAUCCAGGUCCCGCUAUUCGAUAUUGACCGAGGAGUCUCUCGGGUCAUGUCUACAUAGUUCUCGAACCCGCAGGGUCUGCACACUUAAGGNNNNNNNNNNNNNNNNNNNNNNNNNNNNNNNNNNNNNNNNNNNNNNNNNNNNNNNNNNNNNNNNNNNNNNNNNNNNNNNNNNNNNNNNNNNNNNNNNNNNGGUCUGCACACUUAAGGUUCGACGUUGUUUUAUGCGUAUUUGAGUUAUAUGGUUGGUUACCGAAUGUUGUUCGGAGUCCCGGAUGAGAUCACAGACGUCACGAGGGUUUCCGGAAUGGUCCGGAAACGAAGAUUGAUAUAUAGGAUGACCUCAUUUGAUUACCGGAAGGUUUUCGGAGUUACCGGGAAUGUACCGGGAAUGACGAAUGGGUUCCGGGAGUUCACCGGGGGGGGGCAACCCACCCCGGGGAAGCCCAUAGGCCUUUGGGGAGACACACCAGCCCUUAGUGGGCUGGUGGGACAGCCCACAAGUGCUCUAUGCGCCAAGAGAAGAAAAAUCAAGAGGAAAAAAAAGGGAGGAGGUGGGAAGGGAGGGGGACUCCCUCCCACCAAACCUAGUCCAACUCGGUUUGGGGGGGGAGAGUCCUCCCCCUUGGCUCGGCCGACCCCCUUGAGGGUCCUUGGACCCCAAGAAAAGGCCCCCUCCCUCCCACCUAUAUAUACGGAGGUUUUAGGGCUGAUUUGAGACGACUUUUCCACGGCAGCCCGACCACAUACCUCCACGGUUUUUCCUCUAGAUCGCGUUUCUGCGGAGCUCGGGNNNNNNNNNNNNNNNNNNNNNNNNNNNNNNNNNNNNNNNNNNNNNNNNNNNNNNNNNNNNNNNNNNNNNNNNNNNNNNNNNNNNNNNNNNNNNNNNNNNNCGGAGGGGCCUCGGUUGAUCUCGAGCACCGUGGCUCUGCUGGUUUGCUCGGGUGGCUAGGGAGGUACUAGUGAUCGUGGUGAAGCUAUCUGAGGGGUGUUUGAGCGAGGGGGAGGGCUAUUUAUAGGCCCGGGACGGUGAGCAGAUUCGGGAGCGCCGGUGACUCGCCGUGGCGCGCAUGGGGGUGCAGAGAGAGGUUGGGGUCGAAACCACGGUCUCCGGACGUGGUUUUGGACCGCCCGAACCAUCUGCAGCAGAGAGAAAGAGAGAGGAGUCGAGCAUUCGUGGCCGCGCAACCUUGGCCGGUUCUGGUGCGCGCGGGAGAGGAGGGGCCUUGAGGCUUGCUCGACGCAGAAGGGUUAUCGGGGAAGAGGUUGGAUAUCCCGGGGAGGCUGGACCUGGCCGAGGGCGUUGCCCCCACCUCGGCAACUCCCUGUAUCGCGCCCAGAGCGCAGUUUUGGCAUGCCACAGCAUGCUGGUGCACUCUGAGGCACUUUGGACGUGUCUAGCAUGUCCUGGCAUUUGCUGGGAGUGUGGCUAGCCGUUUGGUUCUUGUGGGACCUUCGGCUUGUCAAGGGAGGCAAGAAAUACUGUUGUCAGUCAUGAACUGAGACCUAAAUUGGGGUUUUUGGCCUUUCCACUUUGAACCAGUGAGGGCCUGGUUGACUGGGGUUAGACACAGGUGCUGGCCAGUUAAUCUAAGAGUUUGAAGCAAAGGAGUUUGGUUUAGCUGUGGCAAAGUUGGCAUUUUCCUAUCUGUCAAAAGGUGUUCGAAAGUGACUUAAGGGGGUUGCACCCCAUCACUGGUGUUGCAACUUAACAGGUUUGGGUUUGGUGGUAAACCAUGGAGUUUUACCAAUUUUGAGCUCCAAAGGACAAGUUUAGCUUUGUAAACUUGAAAACACUCCAAUAUGACCAGAUUUGUCCCUUCCAAAGGGAGUAUGGGCAAAUUAAGUCCCACAAAUCCCAUUUUUGGCGUGGAACCCUCAUUUGAGGUAUUAGGCACUCCUGCAAAGUUUCAGCAUCAUCGGGCAAACUUUGCUAUGUAGAGUUGCUCUAACUUGAUUCCGGACAGACAUGGUUUUUAAGGUAUUUGGGAUCCUUGUCCACCUUUGAAUAUGGAGAAACUUUAUGUGGACACCAAACAAGGCUUAGGGAUAACACUGGAAUUUUCUAGGAAUUUAUUGAGAAAAUUUCCUUUGGAAAUAUUUCAAAAUGUCAAAACAGACAGAAUUAUCUUUCAUAGUUUUAAUCAAUAAAUAUAAUAUAAAAUGGGGUUUAAAAUCCUAUGUAUGGAAAAUAUAUNNNNNNNNNNNNNNNNNNNNNNNNNNNNNNNNNNNNNNNNNNNNNNNNNNNNNNNNNNNNNNNNNNNNNNNNNNNNNNNNNNNNNNNNNNNNNNNNNNNNGUUCCUUCAAGCUCUUCGGGAGGAGUGUCAAGCCAGCAAUGUCGCUAUUCAGCAGCUGACUCAAGUCCUGGUGGACAACCCGUCGGGAAUGGGAAUGGCGGUGGCCGCUCUACUCUUUCUGAGUUCAUGCGGACUACGCCCCCCAUCUUCACGGAGACGACUGAANNNNNNNNNNNNNNNNNNNNNNNNNNNNNNNNNNNNNNNNNNNNNNNNNNNNNNNNNNNNNNNNNNNNNNNNNNNNNNNNNNNNNNNNNNNNNNNNNNNNNNNNNNNNNNNNNNNNNNNNNNNNNNNNNNNNNNNNGAACCGCUGGACGCUGAUGACUGGAUCCGCACCAUUGAAGACCUCCUUGCGCUGGUCAAGUGCACCGACGAUCGUGAGAAGGUCCUUUAUGCUUCUCACUGUCUCGGAGGCACCGCCAGGGCAUGGUGGGAUGGAUUCCAGAUCAUGCGGAUAGGGCAAGUCAUCACUUGGGUGAUGUUCAAGGAAGGAUUUCGCGCGGCUCACAUUCCACCUGGAAUGAUGACCAUUACGAAGCGGGAAUUCCGAGCCUUGAGGCAGGGCAGUGGAACUGUUAAGGAGUACCAGCAGAAGUUUAACCUCUUGUCGAGGUACGCGCCUGAAGAUGUUAACACUGAGGCCGCUAAGGUGGAACGCUUCAUGUAAGGGUUACAGCAGUCCCUGCAAUACCAGCUGGUGGUUUGCGACUGCAAGACCUUCAGCGAGUUGGUUAACAAGGCGCUUAUGCUGGAAGACAAGCGUCGNNNNNNNNNNNNNNNNNNNNNNNNNNNNNNNNNNNNNNNNNNNNNNNNNNNNNNNNNNNNNNNNNNNNNNNNNNNNNNNNNNNNNNNNNNNNNNNNNNNNNNNNNNNNNNNNNNNNNNNNNNNNNNNNNCCGUCGUGUGCUGGACGACACCCGCAAGCGCCAACUGAUAGGCAAUGGAGGACCCAGUAACGCAAGACCAAGACCAUGGCAGUCAGCACCUGCAAGACCCAACUUUCAGCAGCAGCAGUACAAGCACCCAAUGUUCCGCCAGAAUUAUCAGCCUCAGCAGCAAGCCAAGCCAGUAGUCAACCCGCCGAACAACGGUGGAGUCAAGACCAACCCUCCGGGGCAGGUCACCUGCUUUGGGUGUGGUCAGACCGGGCACUAUUCCAGGCAGUACCCCAACAAGAAGCCCGACGCACCACGUCCCAAUGCACCCAACCCCGGUCAAGGUGCACUAGAAGGAACAAGGCACCCCACAACCAGCAGUUCAAUGGCAGGGGCCGGAUCAAUCACAUCACUGCAGAAGAGGCGGAGGAAGACCCGGACUGCAUUCUGGGUACGUUCCUCGUCAACNNNNNNNNNNNNNNNNNNNNNNNNNNNNNNNNNNNNNNNNNNNNNNNNNNNNNNNNNNNNNNNNNNNNNNNNNNNNNNNNNNNNNNNNNNNNNNNNNNNNGUGUUAAAAAGGUGUUGUUAUGAUAAUCACAAUAAUGUGACCUAGUUUGGUGACUUGGCAUAUAGGGUAAACCCGGAUGGUUUAACCCUUAGCUGAUACAUUGAGGUUAUGACAAGUCCAAUGACUUGGCAUAUAGGGUGAACCCGGUGUGUUCAACCCUAUCAGAUAAGUCGAUAUCUAUAACCUGUUCUUCAAGAGUAGUUCUUUAACUUGUUGCAUAUACCUGAUCAUUCCACCAAAUUGCAUUCCACCAAAGAUACAUGUUACUGUUAUUCUUCUCUAUCAAUAUUCAUAUCAUGGGCUGUUUGCGAGUACAUUCAAAGUACUCAUUGGCUUGCCACUGGUUAUAUUAUUGACCAGACAUGGAAGGACCGGAGUUUGGCGAUGAGUACGCCUUCGGAGACAAACCUGCGAUCUAGGACGCUUCCAAGUCAGAAUGCCCGUCGGUGUAGGCUUGAUGGCAUGGGCACCGCUUAGCCCUUACAAGUUUCCGCUACCCGAUGUAUCUGUUUAAUUGGCUUUAGGCCUCGCUCUUGAACCCGACCUUCUGGUCGUUUGAUGNNNNNNNNNNNNNNNNNNNNNNNNNNNNNNNNNNNNNNNNNNNNNNNNNNNNNNNNNNNNNNNNNNNNNNNNNNNNNNNNNNNNNNNNNNNNNNNNNNNNGCCCCAACCUUGUUUGUAAAGGUUCGGUCGCCGCCUUCAAGGGCACCUAUGGUGGAAUCACGGUACCUUGCAUCGUGCGAGAGCGUGAGGAGAAUACGGUGGCCUUAGUGGCUUUUUGGGGAGCAUUGUGCCUCCACACCGCUCCAACGGAGACGUACUUCCUGUCAAAGGGAAGGAACUUCGAUAGCACAUCCUCGUCUCCAUCGGUUCCACUUGUGGUUAUCUCUAUCCUUUACUUUGUAUUUGCUUAUGCUCGUGACUAUAUCUUACUUGUCUUAAUAGCUCUCGUUGUUAGCCUCUUGAGAGUUCAUCUCAUUGUCGUAUUAUUUGUGAACCCGUAUGUUGUUUACCUUAACUUGCUAAGGUUAAUUAAAAAGUGGUCGUUGUCUAUUCACCGCCCCCCUCUAGCCAACCAUAUCGAUCCUUUCAGCCGCCAUCGAGGUUGUCAUGCUAUCCAUGCUAUUACUACUAAAUCUAUUACCUAGCAAUAAAGUAAACGCAUGUGCAAGCACAAACGUUAGUUUAAAGACAACCCUAUGGCUUCUGCCGGUUGCCGUAGCAUCGACGUGCAAGUCAAUAUUUAACUAGUACAACAUGAUCAUCUCAUACAUCUAAUAUAUCAUAUCAUGUCUUUGGCCAUAUCACAUCACAUGCAUACCCUGCAAAAACAAGUUAGACAUCCUCUAAUUUGUUGUUGCAUGUUUUACGUGGCUGCUAUGGGUAUCUAGUAUGAUUGCAUCUUACUUACGCAAAGCCACAACGGUGAUAUGCAAAUUGCUAUUUAACCUUCUCCAAGGACCGCCUCGGUAAAAUCUGAUUCAGAAACAGACACCCGCCAGUCAUCUUUAUGCAACAAGUUGCACGUCAGUCGAUGAAACCGGUCUCUCGUAAGCGUACGAGUAAGGUUGGUCCAGGCCGCUUCAAUCCAACAAUACCGCCGAAUUAAGAAAAGACUAAGGAGGGCAGCAAAUUGAAUAUCAACGCCCACAAACUCUUUUGUGUUCUACUCGAGAUAUCAUCUACGCAUGAACCUAGCUCAUGAUGCCACUGUAGGGGAACGUUGCAUGGGAAACAAAAAAUUUCCUACGCACACGAAGACCUAUCAUGGUGAUGAUCAUCUACGAGAGGGAGACAGGAUCUACAUACCCUUGUAUAUCACUAAGCGGAAAGCAUUAAGAAACGCGGUUGAUGUAGUGGAACGUCUUCGCGAUCCAAAUCGCCGCCGUCCCACGAUCCGUCCCGAUCUAGCACCGAACGGACGACACCUCCGCAUUCAGCACAGGUACAGCUCGAUGACGAUCUCCGCCUUCUUGAUCCAGCAAGAGAGACACAGAGGUAGAUGAAUUCUCCAGCAGCACGAUGGCGUGGCGGUGAUGAUGGUGGAGCUGCUCCGUCAGGGCUUCGUCGUGCCGUGCCGAUCUAGCUACGAUGUGUCACGAAGUAGUGGAGGGAGAGAGGUUUGCACAAAGUCUUGAGGUGCAAAAACCCACUCAAACCUCCACUAUAUAUAGGAGGAACCAAGGGGUGGCUGCCUUGCCUCCUACUCCAAGUAGGAGGGGUCGGUCGAGCCAAGGAGGAAGGUCUCCUCGUCCAAUUUGGUUUGGUGGAGGAGUCCUUUCCUUCUUGCCCACCUCCUCUUUUUUUUCCUUUCCUUUUUUUGCUCUAGCCGAAAUAGCCCUAUUGGGCUGGCCUCACCAGCCUAUUAAGGGCUGGUGCACCACCCAUGUGCCUAUUAGAUUCUCUCCCGGGUGUGUGGCCCCUCCCGGUAAAACCCCGGAACCCAUUCGUCACUCCUCGUACUUUACCGGUAAUGCCCGAAAUCUUUCCGGAAGCCAAAUGCAACAAUCCCAUAUAUCAAUCUUCGUUUUCGGACCAUUCCGGAGACACUCGUGACGUCCGGGAUCUCAUCCGGGACUCCGAACAACAUUCAGUUACCAACAUCAAUAAUUCAACUAUACCGAAAACGUCACCGAACCUUAAGUGUGCAAACCCUGCGGGUUCGAGAACUAUGUAGACAUGACUGAGACACUCUUUGGCCAAUAUACAAUAGCGGGACCUGGACGACCAUACUGGAUCCUACAUAUUCUAUGAACAUCUUAUCGGUGGAACCUCUAUGUCAAGGAUUCACACAAUCCCGUAUGUCAGUCCCUUUGUCCUUCGGUAUGUUACUCGCCUGAGAUUCGAUCGUCGGCAUCUUCAUACCUAUUUCAAUCUUGUUACCGGCAAGUCUCUUUACUCGUUCCGUAAUACAAGAUCCCGUGACUAAUUCUUUAGUCACCUUGCUUGCAAGGCUUGUUUCUGAUGUUGUAUUACCGAGUGGGCCCCGAGAUACCUCUCCGUCACACGGAGUGACAAAUCCCAGUCUUGAUCCAUGCUAACUCAACGGACACCUUCGGAGAUGCCUGUAGAGUACCUUUAUAGUCACCCAGUAAUGUUGCAACGUUUGAUACACAUAAGGCAUUCCUCCUGUGUCAGUGAGUUACAUGAUCUCAUGGUCACAGGAAUGAAUACUUGACAUGCAGAAAAAAAAUAUAAACAAAAUGACACGAUCAUAUGCCACGUUUAUAGUUUGGGUCUUGUCCAUCACAUCAUUCUCCUAAUGAGGUGAUCCCGUCAUCAAGUGACAACACUUGUCUAUGGCUUGGAAACCUUAACCAUCCUUGACCAACAGGCUAGUCAACUAGAGACUCACGAGGGACAUUGUUUUGUCUAUAUAUCCACACAUGCAUUUAUGUUUCCAUUCAAUACAAUUAUAGCAUGGAUAAUAAACGAUUAUCUUGAAACAAGAAAUAUAAUACUACCUCCGUCACAGUUUAGAAGGCACGCACGUGUACCUAGAUCGUCAAUUUAACUUAUAUAAAAUCUAUUGUUCAAUAUAAAAAAUAGAACAUCUAAAGUUUUUAAUGAUAUAUUUUUUGUAAUAUAUGCUUAUCAUUAAGUUGGUCAAAUUGAUGACCUAGGUACACGUGCCGAACUUAUAAACUGAGAUGAAGGGAGUAAUAACUAUUUUAUUAUUGCCUCUAGGGCAUAUUUCCAACAUUCUUAGGGAUUUCCAAAACCUACAAAAUAUAGAUAAGCUCCCCCGAGAUGCGUGCUCUAUUUGAGUAUGUUUUUGGAAUGCAAAGAGCACACACUAGGAUCACCCCCCCUAUAUUUUAUAGAUACAACCACAUGCUUGCAUGAACACGAAAUGCGAGUUGAAUAUGGAUGCAAGAGUAGAAAACAUGAACUCAUAUAAACACUGAAGUAGUCAUAAUAUAAUAGGGAAGAUAGCAUAUGUCUAACACUUUUAGUUCACACAAGUCAUGAUAACACAAACCAAAGCAACCAAAUAAAUUAAAAUGAGUUCACGAGAUAGGAAAGCAAAUAAUCAAUAAAGCACUCGUGACUCGGCAGAUCCAUCUCAAACUAAGAUACUCUCUCCCCCUUUGGCAUCGAGACACCAAAAAGGGGAGACAAGAUAAGCUCAGUAAUCUUCAUCAUCAUCGCGCUCAGACUCAUCGAAAGUAGUAGACACCUCCUCCUCAGACUCCGUCCACUCGCAGUUGGCCUUCAUCCAGUCCUCCUCAUCAAUGAUCUUGUCCUCUGAACCACUCUGGACAUCAAGGCCAAUCUUCCGCAUGAUCAUCUUGUCACAACUGUGCGCCUUCUUGGCAUCAACAUGUGCCUUGUACUGACCCUUCAUCUGGAAGUAGAAUAGAGCCUUCAUCUUUGUAACGACUAAGAUGCGGCCCUUUCCUAUUUUGGGGGCGAUGCCCCAAAAGAGAAAGAGGCGCAUCUAAACGUUUCGCAAGCGACAUAAUCAUGACAUUACAUAACUGAAGAAUGACAAGUAGGGCAUACACUUGACAUCUGACAUAGUAUAACAUAAGGUUUACAUCCACACAAUUAUUCAGAGCAAAGUUUAGUCCCGCUACGGACAACAUGAAACAAGUAAAAGACUAUGACAUCCCGCAUGCUGGCCCACGAUCACGACCACGACCUUAGUCCUCCGGAUAGUUCACGUACAGUCGGUCAGACUCCUCAUCGUACUACCACGUCAGCUGGGUGCCAUCAGGAUCUCUUGCGUCGGGCGUACCUGUACCUGUUGGGGUGUUGUAGUAAACUGUGAGCCACGGGGACUCAGCAAUCGGAUGACCUUGGUAUCGAAUCUAGUCAAGUUAUUAGGUGAGGAAGGUUUGGUGUAUAGGUUUGCAACAACCUAAACAUAUAUGGUGGCUAACUUACGUUGAUGAGAGUAGUUGAUAUGGUGGUCUACGCGAGCGGUCGAAGACUAGAUGAUCACUAAGUGAUCCUGAACACCUACUUACGUCAAACAUAACCCCACCAUGUUCCCAAUCGAAGAGAGGUCUUCGAAGGAGACAGUCACGGUUACGCACAGUUGGCAGUUUUAUUAGAGUUACUUUAAGUUGUCUAGAACCGGAUGUUAACAAAAUAUCCAUGUUUGCCACAUACCGCGGGCACGACUUUCCGAAAGAUUAAACCCUGCAGGGGUGCUCCAACUAGUCCAUCACAAACUUCCACGGGCCGUAAAGUAAUCCUCUAUCAUGAAUCUCAUGAUCUCGUCGGAUUCCUUAGAGGAAAACCUCAACUUUGAGGAGACCCAAAGUUUCACCGAGAUUCCUAUACGCAAGAUAUAUCGCUAAGGUAAGACAAAUCUGGCAAGACCUCCCGUCGUGUCCACGAACCCGAUAGGAGCCGCAUAUCUCAUUUUGAGGACACGACGGAUUGUCCAAACUCCCGGUAGGCCAAACACAGAGUUGCCCCUGGUAGCCACCGGUGGUUAACAGGGUGGACCAACACUCAUGAGGAGCACUGGCCCGGCUUGUUGAUUAAAUCCUUGGGGUAGUUAUUCCCUAUGCAAAUUAUUAUUAGGUGAUUAGCAAAUUAAAACCAAUGUUGGGUCCUCCAGACGAGCCUUAACACUACACGAUUUAUCAAGGGGGUCCCCAUAACAACCCCGAACGUGUUAGGAGCGAUCAGUUAUGGAAUCAAACACCGGUAACAGAAACUAAGGCGGAAUAACGGAACAAAUCACCCCGCAAAAGGCUAGGUCUUCCGUCAUUUACCAAGUAUAUAGGUGCAUUAAUUAAAUAGCAGUUUAAACAUAAUGAUAUCAAAAUACUCAUGUUAUCACAUGAGACAGCUGGCACCUGCAACUAGCAAAGCUAUCCAUUAGAAGCUGAGCAAGCCUACUUAGCCAAACAACUUUUGCUAGGAGAGGAAGGUGUUUGGGUUUCAUGGCAAUAACAUGUGGAUUUUUUGUCAAGUGGUAGGCAGAGAGCGUACAUCGAAGGAAACGUGAUUCUAAGCAUAACAAGGCUAGAUACGGUAUCAAGGUCACGGUCAUCUUGCAUGUGAUGUCUUCAGCUUGGAACAACUCUUGAUCUUCCUGCACGUACUCUCCAGAAUCCACGUACUCGCUCUCCGAUCCCGAUGCUACCCAAGAUAAAAAUAACAGCCAAUUAACACCAACACAACAUGAUGCAACAACCAAUAUGAUGCAUGAGUGAAGAAGGAAGCAUGCAUCACUAUUCUAGUCACUUUCAUAUGCAUUAGUUGAGUUGAUAAACUUCUCGACAUAACUUCAUAUUAAGUUAUCUUGACAUGCAUGAGGAUGGCAUGAACAUGUGCAUCAUGAGAAAACGAAGCAAAAACAUAUAAAGAACGUAGGGAACGGAGCUACGGAUCAACUGGAAACUACGAAACAAGAUAUGAAGACCUGCGGUUCAAAUCCACCACAAGUACACACCAAUGGCACUCUCCUGGUGUUACCAGGCUGCCACAUGAUCAAACAAUCAAAUACAAGUGGGGUGGUGCAUGGAAACACAUCAUACCAUCAACUAUGCCCACACAAGCUUCAAAACAACUAAAACAUGCAAUCUGUUUUAAACAGCAUCAUAGCAGUUUGUCCACAACAUUUAAAGUACCUACAGCCACCCAAAUGAGCCAAACAAGAUAUGAGGCAAAAGCCAUUCAAAAGCUCUACAAGCCUGUGCAAGAAGUUUGUACAAAGGAGUCACACAUGAGAAGAUCUAUGGACACAAACUUGGACAAAAAUAACAGAUUCUCGGACUUAGUGAAAAUGUCAGAUUUUUACCAGCUGCUUAUGCUCUAAAGCAUUUUGGCACCCUCCAAAAUGAUAUCUACAAGAAGUGAAAGAGCAUGAAAUUUAACAGGAAGCUAGACAAACACAAAAGCUCACAAACCUUAGUUUGUUGCAUGGGCUGAUUCCCAACACAUGAGCUUGUGCAAACAAAACAAUAAGGGAAGAAAAUAACAGCAGAUUCUCAGAAUUAGUGAAAAUCACAUAUUUUCACAAAGUUGUCAGUUUCAGCCAAGUGUCAACUUUGACAAGGCACAAAAGGUGCAUACAAACUCCUAUGAACAAAACAAAGACUCCAUGUUGUAGAGGGGUUCACCCACUACUGCCACAUCAAGAAUUCAUCCUCAUAGGGUCAAAGCACUAUCUAAUACAAAGCUCCAAACAUGGCAUCAAGACAGAAAAAUGACAGUUUAUGAAGUUGCUCUAAAGUGAAAUCUAAUUUCACCAGUGGAUUCCUGGGAUGAUUCUACCCAAAAAUCAUAUAUAAUACAUGGGUACUUGCAUGUAACAUGUAGGCACAAAGCUAGCUCGAAAAUCAACCUAGAAUCCUAUAUGAGCAUAUAGGAGCAUUAUCACAUGUAACUUAGCACUUGUAGUAUCCACUACUCCUACAUAUUCACACACACAAGGUUCAUACGCCACCAAAUCACCAUAUUGGCAAGCAUGAGGGGUUAGCCCUCAUGCACAAGUGCAUAUGUGCACUCAUGCCCACACACACACACAAGCAUGACACCUACACCUACACACAAAUAUGUGUGCUCACACACACACGAUCAAGAGGUGCAUCAAGAGGGGCUGCCCUCGUGCACAUAUGCAUGUGCCACCACAUGCACACACACACCAUCACAUAUGUGCACAUCUCCUCAUGUGCACACACACAUCCACUCACAUACACACCCUCAUGUGCCCUUGUACAUACAAGGGUGCACACACUACUUGCACACACACAAGCACUUGCUCACACACUCAUACAUACAUAAGCUAAACUUAAAAGGAUUAAAACCCACUGGUUUUUGAUAAAAACCCAAGACAUACUUGUUGCCCAAGUAAUGUAACAGGAAAAAAAUGAACAAAAGGCAAAAAUAUAAAAGGGGGGUACCCUCGAUUCGAACCCACGCCCCCUGGUGCAAUACACAUGCCUACACCACUGCACUAGCGCGUUGUUUCUGCUCUAUUAGAAGCAACAGAGCAGGUAAGCUAUCACCUUACGAAGCUACACUGAAAUAAAAGAAACAACAAGGAAAAAGGGGGGGUCUUCGGGGAUUCAAACCCACGAUCACCUUGUCGCAAAACCACCCCACUACCACUCGGCAACGAAGCGGCACUUAACAGAGAGGGGGGCGUUGCUCUUUUGAGCAUCCCCCUCUGCUCCUACUGCACAUCAACGGCGCCGGAACAGGGGAUCAUCUCCGGCGACUCUACGACAUCUAAUCGACACGGCGGCGCUAGCGGGGAGGAAGAGGGGUCAUCAGGGGACCCAUUUUUGUCCCAAACUCGCCGGGAGAUGCACCACCACGGCGGCUCGAUGUUCACCUAUCUACGCAAAAGGUGUUGUUGCCCGUGCAACAGAGCAACGCGGGCGAUGAUGCGGCCGAGCGCUGCUGAGGGAAGGAGAAGGCGGAGGGGAGCGUGGCACGGCUCACCUAGGGUGCCGAGGAGAGGAACUCAUCGUUGAGGAAGAAGGGGUCGAUGGAGAGGUGCUGCAGAGGGGUUGCCGUAGUGGAAGAAGAGGAAGAAGUCGGGGUCGCCGAUGUAGUCGAUCCCAUCGCCCGAUCUUGCCGAGAAUGGAACUCCUGCUGCCUCCGUUGGCUCCUAGACCGAUCGGGGAAGGAGAUGAAGCACCGUUCUUGCCGGCGACGAGCUCAACAGCAGUCGGCCAUGGCGGCGGCUCUGCUCGGGAGCGCCUCCAGCGGCGCCAGAGAGGAGAGGAGGAGGAAAAUGGAAUGCCCUAGGGUUGGGGAGGGUGACGAGCUCCUUAAAUGGCCUCAGGCCGCGUGGUUGGAGCCGCAGGAUCGAGAGGGGGGAGGAUCUGUGGCUGUGCUGCGGUCGUACAUGAGGGUGACGACAGCGAGGAGGAAGACGGUCGCUGAGUGGGCUGCGCGCGCGAGGAGAGGAGGAAAUGGGCCUGAGGGAAGGAGGAAGCCCACCCACUGGCGCAGAUAGCCAGAGAAGAAAACAAAAGGUUUUCUUCUUUUAAAAAAACCAAACAACAAACAAAAUAAACCAGAGCAACUCAGGGCUCCAAAAGGAAAAAGUAAAAUAUCUGGGGCAUAAGGAAAUUAUGCCCUAUUUAAACAAAAUGAAAACCAGAAUUUUGGAGCAACUAAAUUAAAUACAAAAGCAAAAUAACUAUGCUGUUUUUGUAUUUAAACUCCUAAUCAUUUAAGUUUUUAAAAACCCCAAAACAGUACCCCUCAAACACAAGGUAAAACUACAAAAUGAACAACAUUUUUAAAACAGGUUUUGAGCAAGUUAAACAUGAGCUCAAAUAAAUCAUGGAGAAGGGGUUUUUGAAACCUAGUUUGAAAAACAAUCAUAGUUUGAUCAUAGCUUGGGAUUCACCCCUCAUCACAUCAACACUCACACUUGCACCAACAUGGAUCAAACAAAAACAACAACACAAAGGAAGUGACAUGAAUGCAAUGAAUGGCAUGAUGCAAAAGUGAUGACAUGAAAUGACCACAUGAAAUGAUAACUCCAUAGCAUUGACAUCAUGACCCAAAAUAGGAAAGGGUUCCACAAAAAGGCAAGGGUUACAUCUGGGGCAUUACAAUCUUCUUCGUGAUCUUGGAGGCCCAAGAAGGUUCAGUCUCUGAUCUGGGAACAAACUCACAAUCGGGCUCAGGCUCGUCAUCCGAGUCAGUAGGAGCAAUCUCCUCAGCGCCAGGUGGAAUGCCCCAAUUUUCCUUCACACGGAGCUUGAGUACACCAUGAUGAACCAUGUGAUCAGUCACAAGAGAUCACAAGGAAAGGUAGCAUCCCAAGUGUCUUCAAUCAAGUUGAACAGGUACAUAGCAUAAAUGAGCACUUUCUUCUUAUCAAGCACUGCAGAUCUCAACUCCGUCCACAUAAUGUGGGAAACAUCCAAGGUGGACUGGCGGUCUCGCUCCUUCAUGCAAAAAAUGAGAAGGUACUCAUCGGCAUAGGCAGCAGGAAUGCCGUAUGCAAUUACCCGCAUAGGUGUCGAGAUUUUUUGAUAUGCACUAAAUCCAUUCAAGCCCGCGACAUUUCUUCUUUGAGUAAAAUAUCGACAAUUGGCCUCGCAAGCUUGAACAAUUUUCACAAAGAUGGAUCGACGCAUACGUUACUUUCUCCGGAAGAUGUGCGGCGGAUAUGUUGGAUUGGCCGCGAAGUAGUCUUGCAUCAACAUCUUGUUCCCGAGGUUGCGAUUUUGAGGAAUGCAAAGACGACCGACGGUCGAUCCUUGCCGCCUCUUCUGGUUCUUGUGUUCGUGCUCCUUCACGGCAAGGGCCAUUACCAAAGUAUGCCGGCGAAAGGUGAGAAGCAUCGUCUCAACAUCCGAGUCGUCCGAAUCGGAUGAAUCGUCGAGCAAAAACUUCUCGCACGAGCUCAAUUCCAUCUCCGAUGGUGGCUCUCCGGCCACGGUAGAUUAGCGGAUCCGGGGGAGCCGGUCCAGCGACUCGAUGAAAGAGGGCAGGGGCGCCCCCGCGACGCGAUUGAGCCCGUAGAUUUGGCCAGAAUCGCCGACGGCACACGGGCGGAACCAAUGGCGGGGCAGAGGCGGAAGGGGGGGGGAAAGGGUGCGGGCUGAAAUGUCCCUCCCACCAACCGCUUUCAUAUGAUACGUGGAAUCGUAGAGCGAGGCGGAAACAUGUGUUUUCGCGGGUCGGGGAGGGAAUUUUGUCGCACCCCUCAAAUUUUUUUACGGGUCGGACGCGUUUACGGGGUAUGAUCGGGUAACAUUUUCCGCGCAGACCCGUAUUUGGACGGUUAUUUUACGGAUCUAGGCAUUAUACGGGGUGUGUUAGAGAUGCUCUUAUACGAGGUCUGCUAGAGAUGCUCUUAUACGGGGUGUGCUAGAGAUGCUCUAAGGCGUGUGCCAAUACAUCGUUUCGUAGCACGUUAUUAUAGGAGGAUUAAUAAUUUAAGAGACCACUAACCCAAUGCAUUAUUUUUUAGAGGUUGUCUCUAAAUUUAAUGAUUUGAUCCUCAUGCAUAGAUGUGAUUGAGCUAUUAAUCAUUUUUACCUAUGAUGGCGUGCAAAUAUUGUAUCUUAAAUUAUUAACUAGUAUGACAUAUCAUCGUUACCUAGUAUGACACAUAUGACACAUAAUCAAAACCGUCAUGAACCCGCGCUAAGAAACUUCUAUUGCACGGGCCUAAGAGCAAGUACAAUAGAGCUGAAUCAAAGGGGCUAUAAGAAAUAAACUAAUAUAUUUUUGCUUAGUUGGAGAAAAGAGAAGAUGAGAAAGAAAAUAAACGAGCUUUUAAUUAAAAACCAGCACUAGCACGUGCUCCUAGAUAUUUAUGAGAGUGAAAAAUAGGCCAUAUAACAAAAAAAUAACACACUCUUUUAAUUACCUAUUACUCCCUUCGUUCCUAAAUAUAAGACCUUUUACAUAUUCUAUCAUGGACUACAUACGGAACAAAACAAGUGAAUCUAUAUUCUAAAAUAUGUCUAUAUACAUCAGUAUGUAGUUUGUAAUGUAAUCCUUAAAAUGUCUUAUAUUUAGAAACGGAGUAUAUAUGUUAGUUAUAAGAUGAGUUAUACUGUACUCGGUAGAUGACAUGAUGAGCAGCAGGUGCCGAGUAGAGAUAUGGGGUGGGGCGCCAGACGUCUGCGUCCGUCCUUGCACGUUGGCCCUCACACGCGCACACAUCGGGAUCGCAAUCCAACCCCAUCUCGUCCUGCUCCUGCUCCUGCUUCUGCUCCCGUUCCCUCUCCGCGUUAGGGUUCAUCGUUCCAGCCGCCAUGAUGCCACAGCCGCAGCCCGGCGUUGCCCCACCGCAUCCGGCGUCCGGCGCGCCGCNNNNNNNNNNNNNNNNNNNNNNNNNNNNNNNNNNNNNNNNNNNNNNNNNNNNNNNNNNNNNNNNNNNNNNNNNNNNNNNNNNNNNNNNNNNNNNNNNNNNAAGGAUUAACAUCACAUGCAAUUCAUAAGCGACAUGAUAUGGCCAUCAUCACGUGCUUCUUGAUCUCCAUCACCAAAGCACCGGCACGAUCUUCUUGUCACCGGCGCCACACCAUGAUCUCCAUCAACGUGUCGCCAUCGGGGUUGUCGUGCUACUCAUGCUAUUACUACUAAAGCUACAUCCUAGCAAUAUAGUAAACGCAUCUGCAAGCACAAACAUUAGUUUAAAGACAACCCUAUGGCUCCUGCCGGUUGCUGUACCAUCGACAUGCAAGUCGAUAUUAACUAUUACUACAGGAUCAUCUCAUACAUCUAAUAUAUCACAUCACAUCGUCGGCCAUAUCACAUCACAAGCAUACCCUGCAAAAACAAGUUACACGUCCUCUAAUUGUUGUUGCAUGUUUUACGUGGUGACCAUGGGUAUCUAGUAGGAUCACAUCUUACUUACGCAAACACCACAACGGAGAUGUAUGAAUUGCUAUUUAACCUCAUCCAAGGACCUCCUCGGUCAAAUCCGAUUCAACUAAAGUUGGAGAAACCGACACUCGCCAAUCAUCUUUGAGCAACGGGGUUGCUCGUAGCGAUGCAACCAGUCUCUCAUAAGCAUACGAGUAAUGUCGGUUCGAGCCGCUUCGAUCCAAAAAUACCGCGGAAUCUAGAAAAGACUAAGGAGGGCAGCAAAUGCACAUCACCGCCAACAAAAACUUCUGUUCUACUCGAGAUGACAUCUACGCAUGAACCUAGCCCUGAUACCACUGUUGGGGAACGACGCAUGGGAAACAAAAAUUAUCCUACGCGCACGAAGACCUAUCAUGGUUACGAGAGGGGAUUUCCGAUCUACGUACCCUUGUAGAUCACACCGCAGAACCAUUAAUAAACACUGUUGAUGUAGUGGAACGUCCUCACGUCCCUCGAUCCGCCCCGUGAACCGUCCCACGAACCGUCCCGCGAUCCGUCCCACGAUCCGCUCCGAUCUAGUGCCGAAGGACGACACCUCUGUGUUCCGCACACGUACAACUCGACGAUGAUCUCGGCCUUCUUGAUCCAGCAAGAGAGACGGAGAGGUAGAUGAGUUCUCCGGCAGCGUGACGACGCUCCAUUGGUUGGUGGUGAUCUAAUCUCAGCAGGGCUCCGCCCGAGCUCCGGAGAAACGCGAUCUAGAGGAAAAACCGUGGAGGUAUGUGGUCAGGCUGCCGUGGCAAAGUUGUGUCAAAUGAGCCCUAAUACCUCCGUAUAUAUAGGAGGGAGGGAAGGGGCCUUGCCUUGAGGCUCAAGGAGCCCCAAGGGGGUCGGCCGAAGGGGGGGAGGAGGAAUCCUCCUCCAAUCCUAGUCCAACUAGGAUUGGAAGGUGGAGUCCUUCUCUUCCUUCCCACUUCCCCUUUUUUUUCUUUUCUCUUUGAUUUUCUCUUAUCCUACGCAGGGGCCUUCUUGGGCUUGCCCACCAGACCACUAAGGGCUGGUGCGGCACCUCUAAGGCCUAUGGGCUUCCUCGGGGUGGGCUGCCCCCCCGGUGAACAUCCGGAACCCAUUCGUCACUCCCGGUAUAUUCCUGGUAAUGCUGAAAACUUUCCGGUAAUCAAAUGAGGUCAUCCUAUAUAUCAAUCUUCGUCUCCGGACCAUUCCGGAAACCCUCGUGACAUCCGUGAUCUCAUCCGGGACUCCGAACAACACUCGGUAACCAACCAUAUAACUCAAAUACGCAUAAAACAACGCCGAACCUUAAGUGUGCAGACCCUGCGGGUUCGAGANNNNNNNNNNACAUAUUGGAUCCUACAUAUUGUACGAAGAUCUUAUCGUUUGAACCUGAGUGCCAAGGAUUCAUAUAAUCUAGUAUGUCAUUCCCUUUGUCCUUCGGUAUGUUACUUGCCCGAGAUUCGAUCGUCAGUAUCCGCAUACCUAUUUCAAUCUCGUUUAUCGGUAGGUCUCUUUACUCGUUUCGUAAUACAAGAUCCCGUGACUUACAAUAAGUCACAUUGCUUGCAAGGCUUGUGUGUGAUGUUGUAUUACCGAGUGGGCCCCGAGAUACCUUUCCGUCACACGGAGUGACAAAUCCCAGUCUUGAUCCAUACUAACUCAACGGACACCUUCGGAGAUACCUGUAGAGCAUCUUUAUAGUCACCCAGUUANNNNNNNNNNUAUACACAUAAAGCAUUACUCCGGUGUCAUUGAGUUAUAUGAUCUCUUGGUCAUAGGAAUAAAUACUUGACACGCAGAAAACAGUAGCAAUAAAAUGACACGAUCAACAUGCUACGUCUAUUAGUUUGGGUCUAGUCCAUCACAUGAUUCACCUAAUGAUGUGAUCCAGUUAUCAAGCAACAACACCUUGUACAUAGUCAGAAGACCCUCACUAUCCUUGAUCAACUCGCUAGCCAACUAGAGGCUUGCUAGGGACAGUGUUUUGUCUAUGUAUCCACACAUGUAUCUAAGUCUUCAUUCAAUACAAUUUUAGCAUGGAUAAUAAACGAUUAUCUUGAUANNNNNNNNNNNNNNNNNNNNNNNNNNNNNNNNNNNNNNNNNNNNNNNNNNNNNNNNNNNNNNNNNNNNNNNNNNNNNNNNNNNNNNNNNNNNNNNNNNNNGCUGGCCGUCUGUCCCGACGCAGGCGCCCGCUGGGCCCAACGAGGCCAGGACACUCUGGAUAGGGGACCUGCAGUACUGGAUGGACGAGAACUAUGUCUACAAUUGCUUCGCGAGCACCGGCGAGGUACGUGCCUCUCGCUCUCCGGUGCCAUCUCCUCAGAAUCCGUUGUAUAAUUGUUUCAAUAUGUCGAUGUGGAUUUUACCAGUGAUUUGUCGUGGGCCCGUGGGUGACGCUUGACGCAAAUGUUAUGUAGCUGCGCGCUUUGCUGUAUGGAUCGUUGCGAUUAAUGCAAUGGACGUUAAUUCGUGAUUACACAUCCGUGUUUGAUGCAAUAUAUGUGUUUAUGUGUGUCAGGCCCCUGUCUGAAUUCAAACUACUGUUAUUCUUCAGUUAACCGUUUUACUUUCUGAAGAGCCACUUGAGCCAUGGGAUCAGGUUCUCAGUUUUUUUGUUUGGUUUUGUUAUUGGUUCCUUAAGCUUAUUUGUUUCACAAUAGGCUGAAACUAAAUUUUAGGAAUGACUGUGGCCAAGGUAUUUUGCGAAACUGAGUUGCUUUUCUAUUAUAACUGGUUUAUUGAUGUUGUAACUGGUUGACUGAUUCAGAUUUGGGAUUAUUUAUCAUCAUGUGUUCUACAAAUUAUACUCUCUGUUUGUGUCUAUCGGAUACAUAUUGAUCUUUCAUAUUGUCCUCUUUAAUUUAUAGGUACAAUCUGUUAAACUAAUUCGUGACAAGCAGACUGGACAACUUCAAGGUUAUGGCUUUAUUGAAUUCACAAGCCGUGCUGGUGCUGAAAGAGUUCUUCAGACAUUCAACGGGGCAAUGAUGCCAAAUGUUGAGAUGACAUACAGAUUGAACUGGGCGACUGCUGGUGAAAAACAUGAUGACGGCGCUGAUUACACAAUAUUUGUUGGUGAUUUGGCUGCUGAUGUCACCGACUACUUAUUGCAAGAGACAUUUAGGGCACAAUACCCCUCUGUUAAGGGUGCAAAAGUUGUAACAGACAAAUUGACAAUGCGCUCAAAGGGCUAUGGCUUUGUGAAAUUUGGUGAUCCUACAGAACAAACUCGUGCAAUGACUGAAAUGAAUGGGAUGAUCUGUUCUUCCAGGCCCAUGCGUAUUGGUCCAGCUGCAAAUAAGCAAAAAGCAAAUGGAGUUCAAGAGAAAGGUAAGCACUAAAUCCUUGUCAACUGAAUUUAAUUUGUUUUAGCUGCAUUUUAAAGAUUAUUACAUUUGCAUUUGACUUGUAAUUGAUUUUAUGUGUUCAUUUUCUCCUUAGUUGUUCUUGCAGUUACCUGUUCUAUUAGCCUCUUGUGGUUCAGUUUCCUUUACUAGUUGAAAAUGUAUUGAAGCUUGGCUUGAGCAAUAAGUUUGUAGAUCCACAACAUUUCCUUCGUGAAUUCGGAUCAUUUAAUAAUACACUUUAGGAUUCUGAAGUACUCAUAAAACUCCCAUUGCGUCGAAGCAGGAUACCAACAGGCUCUCUACGACUGACAUGAACAACAUUACAUGUCUCGUGUAAUGUGUGACCUAUGUUAGGUUAGUGUUAAUCGUUUAUGUCCUAAAUUUGAACCUGGCUCUUUUGGUAUCCACUACUUCCUUUCCAAUGUUGUUCCUUCCACGUACUCAUUUUAUUUCUUCUGUAUCUUCAAUUAAAGGUGUCUCUUGAAGUUCACAACCUUCGUCGGUCGUAGGGUCCGUGGCAGAAUGUGUAUAGUGUAAUGUCUCGUAAAACAGUUAUGGGGUUGAGUAGUCCUUACAAUUUCUUCUAAAUUUCUUGUGUUGGAUGACAUGUUCAAAUAUCAGUGUCCUUGCCAAUCAAGUUUUAGGUUAAUGCCAAAAAGGCCUUCCCAACAUGGGUAGUUGUACAAAUUUCUUAGGAAUGGCCAGAGCCUUUUCUACCCGGAGGCUCUUUGUGCUAAUUCAUCCGAGAAAUCGUAUAUGAUAAAAGCACAUGUAAGCCAAUGUACCCCUUCUUCAAGCAAUGGAUGAAGGUUGUCUUCGGAUGAUUGCGUACAACGCUCAUGUGAUGGAUGGGUAUCUUUGAAUGGCUGAAGAUACAAUCAUAAAGUGCGCAAGUGUUUGCCGGUACUGUGGUUAGUAUUUAUGGAGCUCAGUAUCUAUGAGCACCUAAUGCCGAGGACACGCCGAGGCUUUUAGCAAUGCAAGAGGCUUGCUUGGUAGCGUUGAUUGUAUGCAUUGAAGGUGGAAGAAAUGCCCUACAGCUUGGCACAACCAAUUCACCGGUGCAUUGCCAUGAUCCAACAAUUAAUUUGGAAGCGGUUGCCUUCAUGUGGGGACCCCGACUUGUAAGUCGUGAUCACUGAAUGCAUGUGUACAGUGAUCCCAAAGAUCAAUGCUCACUGAACACACAGAAGCUAAAUAAAAUGAGCCUUACAUCCAUACAUACCGUCUGAUACAAAAAAGGACCAUUAAGGCCAAGUCAUGACAUAGAUAGGGCCUCGAAGGCCGACACACCAAACACAAACUAACAACGGAUAACUUGGUUGAAAGCAUGAACCCAUGCCAUCUGCCUUAACCUACAGGCAUUCUGACUGGGAAGCGUCCUAGUUCGUAUGUUCGUCACCGACGAACUCUUCUCCAAACUCCCGUUCUUCCAUGCCUUCCAUGCCUGGCCAAUUAAGUAACCAAUGGCAAGCCAAUGAGUACUUUGAAUGUACUCGCAAGCAACCCAUGAUANNNNNNNNNNGAUAAUGAAGUAUGACGUAACACUAGUAUGCUAUUUUACGGAAAGCAGAUUUUCCCUAGUGCAAUAACAUGAUCAACUUCUCGUGCGACAUGCAUCAUAAGGUAACCGGUAACCAAGAGCACGUUACAGAUGUCAAUAUCAACUGAGGGUCGGACUACCCUUGUCCACCCAUCAUGCCAAGUCACCUGACUUAGCCCAGACACCAUAUUACCCACAUACCACCCCUUUCCACACGCACACUGUUUGGUAAACAUGGACGUAGCCCAAAAGCGGUCAUCGAACUGUCCUUGAUCGUGGACACGACUAUUUGAAUAGUUUUACACUCUGCAGUGGUUGCACACUUUACCCACAAGAUUCGGGAAACCUCCGUGUCAGAACACGACUCGCGGUAUUUAUCAUACCCGAGGUAAGUACCCGAACUUCAUCUUUCCCGUGACCGUACUAGCAAGAGACCACUCAUUGGUGACAGUCCCUCGUGAUGUACAUCAGACAUAUCAUCCACGAGGGCACGCAACGGUGUGCCCGGUGUCUGUAAAAACAGCCCAUGGUCGCCCUCUUUUCCUGGCACGACCCCGUCUCUAGAGUGACCACGUCACUCCCGCACUAGUAAUGCGGGCUCUCUACUACCACCGACCAUAGUAAUCAGCAAAGCCCCGUCCCGUAAGCGGUAUUUUGGUCAUACAUGUAAGGUUGGAGUAACGGUCGCAACUUAAAUCAAUCCAAUUUUGAAAACCACACACUCACUAGCCUCGGUAUGCCACUUCUUCCUCAAGUGGUUACCUAGCUCACACCAUGUCCCUCGGGCAUUAGUGGCACCCGACGGGGUUUUCGUAAAAACCUUUGAAAUUACUUCCUUUUUACCGUCACCAUGCAUGUGCUCACUACCAUGCGUUGCACUACUAGCAACCUAACUACUCCCACCCAUACAACCCUCAUAGGUGGUAGGGUUAUACCCAAGUGCAAGUGUCAAUUAGGAACUGUCGGAAACACCCCAUCGAGGUAGUUAUCGAUUCAACAUCGUCUUAUGCAUCGGAAUAAAUGCUUCAUAUGACAUGCAUGAAAGUAUUUUAUCGAGCAUGGUCAAGGGCUGCUUGCCUUGCUCAAAUAGGUCUCCGGGUCUUGGAGGUCUUCUGGUCCAAGCCCCUCGUCAGCAACUCAGUCUAUCGCCGCAAUAUAAACGGGCAAAAAUAAGCACUCAACCCAAAACAGGGAAAAUAUUCUACUCAGAAAAAUGUCACACCAUUUUAGUAAAAUACUAGGGUGAGUAUAGGUUCUGUAAAAAUUAUUGUGUUUUUUUUAUUGCAAUAAGUUGCAGAAACUAUUUUAACAGUGUUAAAAUGUCUAAAACAAGGUCUUAAAAUAAUACAGUGCAUGCAACCUUUCUAAAAAUUGCACAAGUGGCACUCUAAAAUAGUACAUAAUAUUAC